rnacentral:lncRNA from 1 species
GCCUCGGUGGGAGAGUUGGCGACGGGAGAUGUCGAAGGAGAAGUAGUCGGAGACGACGAUGGGGGAGAAGGUGGAGAGUCGGCGACGGGAGAUGUCGAAGGAGAAGUCGAUGGUGAAGUGCUCGAUGGAGAAGGAGCGGCGGCCGUAGGUGGAGUGCUCAAAGGAGAAGGAGCGGCGGCAGUAGGUGGAGUGCUCGACGGAGAAGGGGCGGCAGGAGCUUGUUUGGGAGAAAGCGUAGGAGACUUGGCUGGCGACGAUGCAGGGGAUUGCGCCCCGGUCGAGGCCAGCAACAAAGCAGCCAUAAGCACGAAAACGACGCCGCUGAAUCGAGCCAUUUGUAGAGAGAAAAAGAGAGAAACUCAAACAGAGAUUGUGAGAGAGAGAGCGAGAGAGAGGAGUCUAGUGAGGGUUAGAGGCGAAUAGCAGAUGGGUUUUAGGAGAGCAGAUCGGGGUUUAUAUAGAGGGAGGGGGAGGAGACGCGUGGCGUGUAGCAAACCGUUGGACGGUGGCGAUUUUCUCGCUGUGAGCCUGUGAUGAUUCAAGGUCGGUUGGGGUAAAAAGAGAACGUGUUACCAACUCAGAGCCGAAACACGCUUUGUUUAUUGGACUGGGCUGGUUCUUUUAUGGCCGUUGGAUGUAUGCUUUACAGCCUAUAACGGUUAACUAUCCGACGGUGCAGAUGGUAGGUUAUCUGGCAGAUUCGCUUCUUUCUUUUGUUUUUAUUUUAGUUGGACUUUUCUUUUUCUUUUGGAAAUCUUUCUUUCUUUCUUUUAUUUUCUGGCUGUACAGAUUGUUAUCUUAAAGCAAACGGAUCCUUUCUUUCAAUCUUAGGUGCCAGAUUGGAAAAUUUGAAGCUAAGGUAGGGCAUGUCAGCUAGGUUUUUAUCGAGGUCCUUUCAUGCACCUUAUCUUUCACCUUUGUAAGUUUUAUUCUCAAUUAAUGAAUAUAAUACUUUUUUAUAUUUUUUAUAAAAAUAAAAAAUAAAUAAAUCGAACAGUUUAACCAUUUUUUUUAACUAACAAUAGCGUUAGCAGGUUAAAUUAUUCAUUUUUAGAAAGAAAGAGAAUUGGUGGGGGUCGAACUUGCACUAAAGUGAUAAACGUGAUUGUUUUUUGUCAUUGUGAUAAAAUGUCAUCAGCACGAUUAAACUAUUUGUUACUUGUUUGAUUUUUAUAAUAUUAAAAUAGACAGAUUUUGAUAAUUAAGUAGACAUAUCAUUUUUAGGGCAAGCAUGAAAUUUAGUCCAAGUGAGAUUUUGAAAAGAAGGAAAGAAAGUAGAAAGUGUCUUGUGGAAUUGACUGAUUCUCUUGUAAGACGGGGUAUGGAGUCCUUGAGUCAGUCCACUUUUAACCCUUCAAAGAGGGCAUAGAAGCCUAGAUAGGUUAUAAUAGCCCGUUCAACUUCCAUUCAAUUGUUAGGUUUUGACUCGAUGUAUUUGUCUUGCUAUGGAAAAUAAUGCCUUACAAGACACUACAUAUAUGAUCCAGCUUCCGGCAAUUGCAAUGGCUUCUUUAUUUUUUUUAUAUAUUAAAAAAAUGAGUUCUUAGAUACAACAAGAACAAAUCUUAUAUAUAUAUAUAUAUUCAAGACUUACUUGAUACAAUAAAAAUCUCUGUUUGGAAAAUUUGAAGCUAAAGUAGGGCAUGUUAGCUAGGAUUUAGAAUUAUUUUGUACAUGAAGAAAUAGACCGAAUGGUUAAAUCAUUGUUUUUAACGAACAAUAGCUUUAAAUUUAACUCGUUAAUUGUUAGGAGGGAGUAGGAUUGGUGGAAAUCGAACCUGCACUAAAGUGCACAAGCAUGAUUACUUUUCGUCACUACGAUAAAGUGUCAUCAGCACAAUGAAACCACUUUCUUCUUCAUUGAUUUUUAUAAUGUUAAAAUAGACGAUUUUGAUAAUUAAGUAGACAUAUCAUUUUUAGGGCAAGCAUGAAACUUUGUCCAAGUGAGAUUUUGUUAAGAAGGAAAGAAAGAAGAAAGUGUCAAGUGGAAUUGAAUGAUUCUGUAGUGAGAAAGGGAAUGGAGUGCUUGAGUCAAUCCACUUUUAACCCUUCAAAGAGGGCAUAGAACAAUAGAUAAGUUAUAGCCCGUUCAACUUCCAUUAGGUUCUGACUCAUAUAUUUGUCUUGCUGUGAUAAGAAUGCCUUACCGGACACUACACAUAUGAUCCAGCUCCCGGCCGAGGUAUCCGUUUUAUGAUAACUUUCAACAGUUUCUGCUCCAUUUUUGUACCUUUAGUUGGCCUUAAUAUUCUCGGCAAUUGCAAUGGCUUCUUUAUCUCCUUAUGUUUAAAAAAAAAAUUAAAAAAUCAAGAGGUUUCAUAUACAACAAGGACAAAUCAUAUAUAUAUUCAUGACUUGCUUGGAUCAUAACACAAAUAUCUAUUUGGUAUAAUAUCGCAUGGAAACAAACAAGGUUAAAUUGAUACUAUAGAAAUCUCUAGUAAAAUGUCUACCCGUAAUCUACAUAGUUCAUUUUAGGGAUUGGCCCCUGCGUUUGUGGUUUCACCCUUUUGGGUGUAAUAGCUUCAAAGUUUGAUAGUUUACGUUAAAGACAGAUCCGCUUCUUUUUUUGUGCAUGAAUUUGGUGUAUACAACAACACCCAUAUUUAUGUCACUUCUAACUAGGCUUAAAAAUGAAAUUUGUUCAUGUCUCCAACGAUUUCAUGUAUGCCGAUUUUAUUGUUGUAUGAAAAUUUUAGCUGAGGAGGUGGGAAACAAUAUUAGAAACAUCUUUCAAACUUUAAAAGACAAGACAAAAGACAAAAGUUGCUACGUCUCAUGUUGCUUUACUGACAAAUUUGAUUGGAUUCAGGAAUUGAUGCUGAUACUUUUGUUGUAAUGUCAAUUAUGUCGAAACAUAAGCUACUCUACUUUCGAGUUGGUUGUAUUCAAAAAUGCUUUUCAUCGUUUAAAAGCGUUUUCAGCUAUCUCAAAAGCAUAAUGGUGUCCAUAUUCUAAUAACAGAGGUUCUUGGAUAUGAAUGCAGGGCAAAUUUGGUGAUAACACAUAUUGAAAUAAUAAUCGAAAAAUAAUGUCUCUUUAUAUUCUCAUAUAACCGCGCUACAAAUUUAAAUUAAUAAAAGAAUUUAAUACAAUAAUAAGUGGAAAUUCAAAAGUCCAUAAACACCCCCACUCUACAUAACCAAUACAGCAGCGAAGAUCCCAGCGGCUACAGACGCGGAGGCUGAGAACCUGUUCAAAACAGCACCGUUAGCAGGAGCGGGAGCCUCGGAGGGAGGUCCAGAAACUGAAGAUGGAGAAGUAGUCGGAGACGACGAUAGGGGAGAAGGUGGAGUGUCAGCGACGGGAGAUGUCGAAGGAGAAGCGGAUGGUGAAGUGCUCGAUGGAGAAGGAGCGGCGGCAGUAGGUGGAGUGCUCGACGGAGAAGGGGCGGCGGGAGAUUUUUUGGGGGAAAGUGAGGGAGACUUGGCUGGUGACGAUGCAGGGGAUUGCGCCCAGGUCGAGGCCAGCAAGAGAGAAACCAUUAGCACCAAAACGACGCCGAAGAAUCGAGCCAUUUGUAGAGAGAGAAACAGAACUCAAACAAAGAUUUUUAGAGAGAGAGGAAGAGAGGAAUUAAGUGAUUGAGAGGCAACUGAAUGAAUGAUGGUUUAAGGAGAAGGGCGGGGGGUUUAUAUAGGGGGAGGCGGAGGACACGUGGCUUUAAAGUACCGUUGGACGGUGAGAUUUUCUGGCUGUGAAGGUUGGAUGGUGGGGUUGGGAAACGUGUUACCAAACUCAGAGAAGAUACGCGGUUUGUUUUAUCGGGCUGGAAUGUUGACCGUUGGAUGGGUACCUUAGGUUAUAACGGGUAGUUUUCCUACGGUGGAGAUUGUAGGUUAUCUGGCAGGUUCGCUUUGUUCUUUUCUGGCGGUACACAUUGUAAUUUCAAUUUUAAAAGCAAACACGGCGCCUCUUCCAAUUUAAGGGGUGACUUUUAAAUUCAUGUGUAUUUAAUAUAUGCUUUUAUGGAGCCAAUAAAAAUUACUUUGUAUUGAAUAAUUCUUUUUUAUAAUUUCUAAAAAUUUUAUAAAAGUCUUGUAGUAUUCAAUUAUGACUUUCUACACGUUUAAAAACUUUAUAUUCAAAAGUUCAUUAAUUUAAAAAGAUUUUAAAAAGUCAUAAACUUUCAUAGAUGUUGAGAAUUUUUAUGUUAUAUUUUCAUCAUAACAAAUCCAAUCUCGUCUCUUAAGAUUUUGAUGGACUUUCAAAGACUUUUAUACUCUAUCACCCACAAUGAUGCAAUGAAGAUCACAAUUUCCACUUCUGCCACACCUCCACCUAAUUAUGACCAUCCUCGUCACCAUAUUGCCAACAUUGCCUCUAUCAUUGCCACCACCACCACUAUCGUAUCACUUUUUCUACCAUCAUUUUGUCAUACUAUUAAUCACAAUCUUUAGGGCUGGUUUGGUAUUGCUGUGCUUUGAAAAAAAGCUGUUGUGAGAAUAAGCGGCUGUGCUGUGAGAAUAAGCGGUUAUGAAAUAAAUCAGCAAAGUGUUUGGUAAACUUUUUUGUAAAAGUGCUUUUGGAAAGAAAAAAAAGCAGUCUGAUAGUGGGUCUUUUCAUUAAAGGAGCACUGUAGCUUCGUGUGCUUUGAAAAAAAACCAGUUUUCCAAAGCUGCAAAUAGCAGCUUCAGCUUUUUCCUUUGAUUUCAGCUUAUUCUCACAGUAGCUUCCAAAAUAAGCCAUUUUUUGUCAAUUUACCAAACACCUAAAACCCUCACAGCUUUUUUUCAUGGGUAUUUUUUUUUUAAGCACCUCACUCCCAAACCUGGUCUUAUGCUGCCAUUGACACGCCUACCAUGAUCCCACCUAUAGUAUGACCAUGUUACCUUGCCUACCACCACCACUCCCACCACUACCUCUACUACCCCUUAUCACGGUCAUCAACACCAUAACCUUCUACGGUCACCUUACUGUCGUCACCCCCCCCCAUGACCACUACUAACACCACCAUCAUCAUGAUCGCCACCUUUACUCCCGUCUUACCUUGCCCAUCACCACCACCCAAACCCUCACUCCACCACCCAAACACCACAUUUUAAUUUCCUUUUAAACUCUACAUAUGUCUAUCGUUUUUGUUUUUUUGUUUUUUCUUUUGUCAAAGUCUAUCUUAAACUCCAUAAAAUUUGUAGAAAUCUAGCAUUAAAAAGUUAUUAAAUUUCCUGGAAUUUUUAUUAGUCAAUAGAAAUUUACAAAAUCUACAAAAGUCUAUCACAUUAAAAAAAAUAAAUAAAUAAAAAAAAAUCCUUGCAAAAUCUAUAUAAAUCUUAAUACAAUACACACCCGCAGUGCAGAAUUGAAAAAUUGGAAGAUAGCGCAUUUGUCGUCUACAAAUAUUACUUUUAAUUUAUAUAUUAAGAAAUAAAUUUGAUUCUUUUAGUUAUAGGAUUUAGUUGGAUCCAUUCAUCAAUGAAUUUGAUUUAAUUGGAAUCAUUCACAUAUUUUUGUACUGCAUUUAAUAACGUAUUAUGUGAUGCACUCAUUCGACAUUUGAAACAAAAUUAUUUAUUAAUGUGAUGAUAACACAUCAAUUGUUAUAUCAUGUGAUAUAAAAAUGUUAGUGCCGGAGCAGGAAAUAAAAAUCUAAAAUUUUGGUUCACCCAGAUUUGAUCCAUCAAGGUCCAGUAGCCCGGCCCUCAUGGUCAGGUUUGGGCCUAAGGAUUGAAGGUUUUGCCCAAACAAAGAAAUUUAAACGAAUAAAUGUGUUGGGCUUAAGCCGAGCCAGUCAAAAUGUAAAUGAGUGCAUCAGUGGAACAAAAUGCAAUUAGGGGCGAAAAUUGCAUUUUUUUUUUUUAUACAUAUAUUUUUUGUAUUCCGGUCUAAAUCUUCAGAAAAUUGCAACUGGGCGAUGACUUGAUGAACACGAAAUCUGUUGCAAUCGAUCGGAGUUCCUACGAGAGUACCACGACGCGUCGGAUGCUUAGCUCGGAUCGGUGAAAGCUACUUUCCAACAGCUAAGCGUAUUUGUAAGCAGAAACUAGAAGCCCUGUAAUAAACACAUUCUACAGCGAUUACAUAAUCUCUUUUCCCCUUUCCUUUCAGUUGAAGCAAAGUUCGUACUGCAACCGCAGAAUAAAGAUGUACAUCGAUCUAGAGUUCUCAAAUGCAGUAUGCUGGUACGCUUGCUGGUCGAUAGACGAAAGUUCUAACGGUGUGAGAAUAGCCAGAUGGGUGAUUAUAAGUGAACUUAACGCCUGAGCUACCACCCCCAAGAUGGCUGCAGUGCUCAUGGAAGCUACUGAUAGGUCGUGCCAGGCAUGCAUCCCACCUGUCACUCUCGGGCAUCGUCUCCGCCACUGUAUAUACCCCCUUAUCAUUCGUGAAUGCCUGGUAAUUUAGAACUUCACCUGAUUUCGUAACGCAUAGUACAGCUACCUACCUCAGCACCUGCACCACGAUGAAUCAAAGCUCAAAACCAUUAAUUUCUCCCUUCUACAUUGUAAAUGCACCCUAGAUAGCGGUUAAAAGCUUAAACACCCACUAUACCAUUUUAACUUUCAUUACCAGCUUCAAAUGAUCAAAGUCACCAGAAGAUCGCACGGAUGUGGACUUAUCAUAGUAUCAUGUAUCAGGUGGACACAAAAACUAAUAGAUGUAAUCACCAACGAAGAGGUUUUAGAAAAGCACAUUGGGACGAAUAAACUACAUUUUGUUUUCAUGGUUUAUAUAUUAUAAGUUGCUAAAAUCCUAAACUGUAUCAGAGUCAUGAAAACAAAUACCAACUUGUAUAUUGUGUUAGUGAGGAUGUCCUAAUGCUUUAAAGGGUCCAACUUUAUCCAACUAGAUCAACCUCCAGAUCAAGUGUAAAAUGAUGCAUGAACAUGAUGAAAUCGUAGUUAUGGAAACGAGAGACACAAUUUUGUUUUCCUAUUUAGCAAAUGUGAAAUGCAAUUUCUUAUUUCUAGGCAUUUUUAUGCAUUUAAUGUACAUGAUCACCACUUCUUGAUUAUCACACGGUAUUCUUGAUGAAGUACAAACGCAUAGAAAUCAAAUUGUUCAAGUAUAAGAAUGGUACAGUAGCGAUUUUGGAAUGAUAUAAGACCUACUUUUCAUUGUGUGAUCCACCUACUUUUCAUUCUUUGUAUGUUAGUAAACGCAUGAUAUGUCAGGAAUGAGAAUGAUAGCAUCCCUUUCAUUCCCAUUACUAACAACCAAACAUGCCAUUAGGUGACAAAUUCAAAUUGGAAUAUGAGAAGACUUUGUGCUGUACAAUGACAUAAAAUCAUUGCUCUAGCUGUGUGACCUUUAACAUAAGAGGUCAAUACCCGGGUUUGUCAAUACAAAACCUAUAAGUUAACUUCCAAAGAUUUGCUAUUGUUCCAAGGACUAGGCGAAAACCAGAAAUUCUAAUACAUCUUCAUAUCUAUGAAGCGAAAAGAAUUCCAAACCCGUUAAUCAUAUCGCUCAAACUAAACCAUUACAAACAAAAACCAAUGCAGAACAAUACAAUUACAUAAACUCAGAGUAGGCAACACAAUAUAACCAGAGAUAUUUUCAAUUUUUCUGUCUCAGAAAAAUCAUGUCAAUACAAUCUAAUUACGCUCUUAAACAAGCUCGCAAACCACAUCCGAAAAACAUCAAUGGAAAAAAUGAACAAUGUUUAUGAUCAUCACCAACCCAUAAAAAUUACAGCCCAGUUACUUGAACAGAUGAACGAGAAAUGAUCAAAAACUAAAAAUUAACAAGCCAAAGAUAAAAACCCAGCUCAGAAUUUUCACAACUAACAAAUAAAUAAAUGGGUAUUGGGUGGGUUGAGCAAGGAGAGACAGAAGAUGACCUUCUAGAACAUGAUCUUCGGGUCCGAUGGCGGAGUCGCCACAGACAUCGCAAACAACUCUGCCGUGGAUUUCACCGGUCCAGGCUCCGACGCCGGAAAUCAAGACUGUGAAGAUAACAAACCCCACGGCCACCGUCAGCUCCUUCUUCGUCUGCGCUUCCAUGGCUCUGCUAUCUCUGCUCUAUCGGGUUCUAAUUCUAAACGCCCACAGCUCACUGUUUCUUCGAAAUAUUAAUACGCAAAGCAAAGGGAAAAGCAUUGUCUGCCCUCACAUUUUCGUGCUCUCCUGUGUUCAUAGUUUUAUAUUAUUAUUUAUUUUUAUCUUAUUCUUUUUAUAAAAAAUAAUAUAAAAUAUUAACGUGACUUAAUCGUUACUAUACAAAACAAAAAAAGCAUGAAAUAGCACGGAAAAUAGAAGGGCGGACAAUCCUUGUCCAAGCAAAGGUAUGAGUCUACACUUCGGCUCUGUCCCACUGGGCCCUACUCUAUGGUUACGGAACCUACUGUUCCUUUUGCUUUGUUUAGCCUUUAGUGUCGAUAGCGUGCCCUACUCUAUGGUUACGGAACCUACUGUUCCUUUUGCUUUGUUCAGCCUUUAGUGUCGAUAGCGUGCCAAAGUAUACAUAAAAGGGGACACAGAUCCUCUCCGGGCCUAUCCAUCCGGAGCUCAAAGAUCAAAUAAUUCUGGUUUUAAAAUUUGAUCCUAUGGUUAAAGAUUGAAAACUUUUUAAAGUUGUAAUAAUUUUUUAUCGUAAUAUCAAAUUUUAAAGGUCAAGAUUAUUUGAUUCUUGGGCUCUGAUGUAGUUCUGGAGAGGAUUUGCUCCUACAUAAAAGAUGUCAAGAUGAUUUUUUUACCAUUGUCAUUACUCAUUAUAUCAAUUAUUAUUCAUUUUUUGUACCCCCUUUGUUUAGCGUUUUGUCUUAUUGGGUGUUGGGUCCCACAUAUGUUUCAGGAGGUGACUUAUAAGUUUUGAGAAAAGAGAGUUCACAAGUCAAAGUGAAACAAAUUUGAGUUUUAAGAAGUAAAAUGAUGACUUUUGAGUUACAAGGGGUAAAAUAAGAUCAAAAUAGAGUUCUAAAAAGCGUAACUAAAAAUAAGCAUGGAAUAUAAUAGUUCUACAUUAUUUAUAUUCUUUGAAUGCUACACAUUAUUGAAGCUACAUCUCAAUUUCGUACUCAAAAAAAAAAAAAUCACAUGUUUUAUUUAUUUUUAAGAUGAAGGGGUAGGCUUACCCUCACAAUGAACUAGAAAUAAUGUGGUUUCAAUUUGCAUUUGGCGAGAAUCGAAUUUAAAACCUCUCACUUACAAAUGAAGAUGAAUACUACUAAAUUGUAGUACUAAGUGACAAUUUCACAUGUAUUAAUUAGCUUGUAACACAAUUUUUUUUAACGUGGAAUUUGGAAAAAUUAAAUAACAAACAUGAACAAAGGAAAAAGAGUGUGAUUACCCUAAAUAUCCUCAUUCCUAUUGAAUAGGAAAAAUCAUCGUACAAUAUUUAAUAAUAAUAGUUUCAUUAUGUAUAGGUAAAUUUUAUUUGAACCCAUAUAACAUUUUUCUACACCCAACUUAUUCUUUACACCUAUAUUAUUUUUAAUUAAAGGUUUAAUAUAUAUUUAAACUCAAAUUUACUACCUAAACUACCCACAUAAACCCAAUUCAAAAUAUAUAUUUAUAUUUACACCCAUUCCUUACCAAUUUUCUUGGUGAACUUGGACUUCGCGAGCUUCUUGAUCACCUUACUUCUGGGGUUUGCUAUUACAAGCUAAUAGAACAGAAGAAAGAAUAAAACAUAAGCUCAUGAUCAAACAAAAAUAUGAACCAUAUCAAACAGAACUAGUCUACCAUAAUAUCAUACCUUGAGACCCUUUCUAUCUACAUUUUUCUGGACCUCUUCAAGCAUGGUGAUCCCGCUAGUAUCGAUGGUUCCAACAGCUGUAAUUUGAUUUUAAUUUUAGCAUUAGACUCGUAGUAAAGCUUAAUGGCAGAUAUCGUAAAAGUUUAAUUUGUGACCGUUGCAGAUUGAUCACUUACUGCCAAUAUCUAUUAUAACAUAGUGUAAGCUUGUUUCUCCCAUUUUAUCUUGUCUUCCUCCCCAUGUACCACUUUGAGAUCCUGUGAACCAGAUUUUGAGCAUAGAUUAAAUCUCUAUCUCGCUGACUACGUUGUUUUCAUAUGUCGAUAUCUAACUUGUAUUUUAUUACCUUUCCCUUAAAUAGUUUGCAUUAACAAAAGUAGAUAUUAGUGCAUCAAUUUGAAGAAUAAGAACUCGUGGAAUAUUAUGCACAACGUAUGAUCAAUGCUUCUACAAAUCGACGAUGGGGUCUCAUCACUGGACAAAGAGGAUACUUGACAUCUCCUUUCCUCACCACGGCAUUCAAGGUCAUGGCUCCUCUGUUUGUUGUUUAUCCAAGGCGUUUGACUUCCAUUGGAAUUAUUCUUCUGUCAAGUUUGAAGAUUAAGCUACUUCCUCAAGAUGAAAUAGAUAUUGAGCUUUAUAUGCUUGGAAAGUUCUGGAUGUCUAGUUUAUGAAGAAUUUUACGGUUCCUGAUUUUCGAUUUUUCUAAAAGAUGUUAUUGCUAUUUUUAGUGCAGACAACACAUAAUGAUGAUUUCUUGCAAAUAAAUGGCUCAGAUAAAUGUUGAUUAAUUGCGUGAUGAAAGUAGGAUAAACAUUGCGUGAUAGUAGAAUUUGAUUAUUUGGGAUGUGGGUUUACUGAUAAAUUUUGAUUUUAUUGUUAAUUUCAUCUUGUAUUUGGUGGUAAUUAUGCAAUAGGGUAAAAAAAAAAUUCACAAUUAAAACUUAAGUUAGGGGUAGAAAGAGGUUAUAUGGGUUCAAAUAAAAUUUCCCUUAUGUUUAUUACUAUUUAAAUAUUAUUAUUCUUUAAAUCAUUUAAUGAAGUGGAAGAGUGCAUCCGGCGUGUUGUGUGACCGCCGUAUGCCACUGAAGCUCAAGGGAAAAUUUUAUAGGACGGCAAUAAGGCCGGCGAUGCUGUAUGGCACAGAAUGUUGGGCGGUGAAGCAUCAACACGUACACAAAAUGGGUGUAGCGGAGAUGAGGAUGCUUCGUUGGAUGUGUGGGCACACGAGAAAGGAUAAGAUUAGGAAUGAGGAUAUCCGGGGUAAAGUAGGAGUAGCCGAAAUUGAAGGAAAGAUGAGAGAAAAUCGGUUACGGUGGUUUGGACAUGUGCAAAGAAGGCCUACUGACGCUCCGAUUAGAAGAUGCGACUAUGGGACAGAGGUUCAGGGCCGAAGGGGUAGAGGAAGACCUAGGAAAACUUUGGAAGAGACUCUAAGAAAAGACUUAGAGUACUUGGAUCUAACGAAGGACAUGACACAGGACCGAGCACAAUGGCGUUCUAAGAUUCAUGUAGCCGAUCCCACUCAGUGACUUGGAUUUUCCAAGUCUCCAACCGAGAAGUUUUCCUCACUCAGGAAAUUAAGGGAAACACUACCUCAACCUACAUGCUCCACUCACAAAGCUCCAACAAAAGAAAAUUCAAAGAACUUAGCGAAGAAGGCUUUGGUGUAUUUAACACAAUACGUUGAAAUGAAGGAAAGCCUAUUUAUUGAUAUCCCCGAUAAGCUACAAAUAUGUACAUAUACAUGAGUCAAAAUAAACAAACAAGAGAGAGCCUUCACAAAUGUUGCUUAGGAGAAGUCGCAGCAGUCGGUAGAGCCCCAGAAAGAGAAGGCACCGGAGGGGGAUCAUUCGGAGCCUCAGUACUGGACAGAACCCUAGAAGAAGGAGGCAUCAGAGGUUGAUCAUUUGGAGCUUCAUUACGCGGUACAGCCCCAGAAGACGAAGGCAAUAAAUGCCUUUGGAACAAACCCACAAAUCUCUGAUGAUCAAGUAUAAAACCUGACCAUCAGAUUCCUUCAUAUGGUCCAAGCUUCCUCUUCAUGUUUGUAGCAUAGUCAUGUGCGAGACGGUGCAACUGUUUAUUCUCAUGCUUGAGCCCUCUAAUCUCCUGUUUGAGACUCAUCACUUCAGCCGCCAAUGAUUCAACUUGGCGGGUUCGAGCAAAUAGGCGUUGGGCCAUAUUAGACACAGAACCUGCACACUGAACACUGAGAGCCAGAGAAUCCUUAACAGCUAACUCAUCAGAUCGUUUGGAAAGUAGUCUGUUAUCUUUGGGAGUGAGAAGGUUCCUGGCCACCACCGCAGCGGUCAUAUCAUUCUUCAUAACGGAAUCCCCAACGGUAAGAGGACCAGUAGGGGAGAUGAAGGAUGGGCGCCAUAUGUUGUCUGGAGAAGGCGGGGCUGCCUCUUCAACAAGGUUCAAGUCAAAACGACGGUCGGAGGGGCCAGACAUUUUCAAAGGUGUUGAAGAGAGAAGAGGUCGGAACAAAUCAAGAUCUUAGAAGUGUAAGAAUGGAGCUUCUACUGGUGGAGAUUCAAGUGUGCUUUGGAACUUAAUGCCAGCCCCUAUAAAAAUCUGCACUCGACGGAGCUUCAGAAAUCGAAGAGGCGCCUGCUCAGAAAUCGAAGAGGCGUUUGCUUUCUCAAAAGCUGGGCUGCUCAGAGACCACGAGGGUCGAUCUCAGAAAUCGAAGAGGCGUCUGCUUUCUCAAAAGUUGGGCUGCUCAAAGACCACGAAGGCCGAUCUCAGAAAUCGAAGAGGCGCUUGCUUUCUCAAAAGUUGGGCUGCUCAGAGACCUACGAGGGCCGAUCUCAGAAAUCGAAGAGGCACCUACUUUUCCAGCCUUGGCAGCACCUGUCACACGCACACUCAGCUUUGCGGAAAUUAUGGGCAUUCUGUCGAAGACUUCUGGUGAAGUAGAAAGCACAUGAGUCUUACUGUUCAAUCACCCCACUUCCCACACGCAACAGUAGCUCAUGGUGUACCACAGAUAACUUUGCCAAAGUUCUCUGCCAAAGUUGAGACACGUGAAGCUUGCAGCUUCCACUACAUCGCUCUGACCAAGAAGGGUAAAAGAAUAGCAAAGAAACAGCACUAACAAAGUUUAGACACAUAAAUUUUGAAGGUCUAGCUACCCCAUAUUAUUACCCACAAGGGUAAAGGAACAGUACCACUGCUGGAUAAUUGGAAAGUCCCUGUGUGUCAACCUCUGUGCUUCGUGGCAAGGUAGACUAGCAAACAUGCCCAACCUUUACUCACAUUCGAGAAAACACUCCCAACAAGAUUGCUUGCUCCAAAAUCGAAGAGGCACCGUCCUCCGAAUCUCGAGAGCCAGACUCCCAACAUGACUACUUUCUCAAAAAUCGAAGAGAGGGUAAAGGAACAGUACCAUUGCUGGAUAAUUGGAAAGUCCCUGUGUGUCAACCUCUGUGCUUCGUGGCAAGGUAGACUAGCAAACAUGCCCAACCUUUACUCACAUUCGAGAAAACACUCCCAAUCUCGAGAGCCAGACUCCCAACAUGAUUACUUUCUCAAAAAUCGAAGAGACACCGCUCUCCGAAUCUCGAGAGCCAGACCCCCAGCAUGAUUGCUUUCUUUCUCAAAAAUCGAAGAGACAUCGUUCUCCGAAUCUCGAGAGCCAGAUCCCUGAUAGGAUUGCUUGUUCGAAAACCGAAGAGGCAACACUUUCCCAACUUACAAGAGCCGGAUCUCCUUGGAUAAAGCUGUCUGUAAUCUUCACACGCAACAUCAGCUUUCCACAUACCACAGACCACUUUUUCAAAGUGCUCUGACAGGGUAAAAGGAAUAGCAUUACUACUUGUUGUUAAGGAGACUCCUAUAUAUGUCAACAUCCAUCCCCAACGGACAGGACAGACCUGCAAAAAUGCUCAACCCUUCCUCAUAUCUGAGAGGGCACUCUCAACGAAGCCUUUCGAAAUAUUCAGCUUUCUUUCCCCCCGAUAAUACCUCUGCAAACAAGUUAUACUAGAGCAAGAAUAUCUCAUAUCAUCAGGGUUAAAAGCAAGAGUAUCCCAUAUCAUGCUUUUUCCCUGUCUUUUCCUUUGGCCUUGUUUCUUACCUGCAAGACAAGGAGAAAGAGAGCAAUCAGUCAGCACUUGGAAUCAAGCUUCCAGCCAGGAACUGACUGCCUGGAAACCCCUUACCUGAUUACUUACCUGGCAUUGCUCUCGAGUACUCAUCUUCAACAUCUUAUGCUUCCAGGGAAGAUACCGCAUCUGCCUGAGGAACAGAUAGGGCAAGUGAGAAGGAUACAAGGAAGCAUGUGGAGACAAGCGUAACAGCACACGUGCCGAUACAUCCAUUACUCUGUCAAAAGCAAAAGUAUCCCAUAUCAGCAGGGUCGAACGUACUCUAGAUUUGAUGGACUUGUUUUGACCCUCAAAUUCUUCAGUCGGCCUUAUACUCUGGAGGAAACCAGAAAAACCCUCCAGCCUCAGUUCAAGAAUAAGCCUGUGGAAAGUUACUUCUUCAAAAGCAAAAGUAUCCCAUAUCAUCUCUUCUCAUUUUUCUUCUCUUUAUCCUUCAUGCUGCCUGCAAGAUAGGGAGAAUGUGAACAAUCAGCCGGAGCUCUGAUUGCUUACCUUGUCUGUCACCUCUUUCAGCAAAUCCCCUAGCUCGGCAACUUGAGGGACUCCUACUACAUGGUUUGUAUCGCGCUUGACCAAGCCUGAAACUACAAGUAAGCUUCAAGUGAAAUUGAUACAUUACCUUGUGCAUCUCCACCAGUUCAAGAUACCACCCCUGGAUGGAGGAAGAGUACUUCCAGAGAAGAUGCCACAUCUACCUAUGAGACAGAUAAGGCAAGUCAAGACGAUACCACAUUCCGAUACUUAGAAGUUUCGUGAUUACGAGAUCAUUCUCCCACAAUAUUUCCUAAUGUCAUUUGUACUAAAUCAUUCACCUGUACUCACUAAAGGAAAGCUUGAACCUAUGUACUUGUGUAAACCCUUCACAAUUAAUGAGAACUCCUCUAUUCCGUGGACGUAGCCAAUCUGGGUGAACCACGUACAUCUUGUGUUUGCUUUCCUAUCUAUAUCCAUUUAUAUACUUAUCCACACUAAUGAUCGGAGCAAUCUAGGAUAUAUCGUGCAAGAGAACGGAGAAUUAGAGAGAGACCGUUUUCGCUACCUAGGAUAUAUCGUGCAAGAGAACGGAGAAUUAGAGAGAGAUCUCAACCAUAGAAUAGAAGUUGGAUAGAUGAAGUGUAAGAGUGCAUCCGGCGGGUUGUGUGACCGUCGUAGGCCACUGAAGCUCAAGGGAAAAUUUUAUAGGACGGCAACAAGGCCAGCGAUGUUGUAUGGCACAGAAUGUUGGGCGGUGAAGCAUCAACACGUACACAAAAUGGGUGUGGCGGAGACGAGGAUGCUUCGUGGGAUGUGUGGGCACACAAGAAAUGAUAAGAUUGGAAAUGAGGAUAUUCGAGGUAAAGUAGGAGUGGCCGAAAUUGAAGGAAAGAUGAGAGAAAAUCGGUUCCAGUGAUUUGGACAUGUGCAAAGAAGGCCUACUGACGCUCCGGUUCGAAGAUGUGACUACGGGACAGAGGUUCAGGGCCAAAGGGGUAGAGGUAGACCUAGGAAAACUUUGGAAGAGACUCUAAGAAAAGACUUAGAGUACUUGGUUCUAACGGAGGACAUGACACAAAACCGAGCGCAAUGGCGUUCUAGGAUUCAUAUAGCCGACCCCACUUAGUGGGAAAAGGCUUUGUUGUUGUUGUUGUUGUUGUUGUUGUUGUUGCUUCUUACAUGUCCGUUCGCCAGAGCGGUGUGGUUUAGUUCUCCGUUUGGUCUUUGGUUGUCCGGGAGUAUUCGAAUACUGCUUAAGGUUGGUUGCUUGUGGUGCUAGAGACUAAAGAGGUGGACUUUGAGUUGGCUUGUUUGAUUAUGUGGGGCAUAUGGCAAGAGAGGAACUCAUGGGUGUGGAGGGGUUUCAAAGCGUUACCUAUGGUCGUGUAGCAGAAGGUCUCUUCUUGGUUAUCAUCAUUUCAGGCAGCGAAUUGUGAACCUAUUAGGAGGGGGUACUGCCCCACUCCACGGUGGUCUCCUCCUAGUCAAGGGUGGGUUAAGAUUAAUACGGAUCAGGGUCGGCCCAAGCCCAGUGUGAGCAGGGCGACCUUCCGGGGCCCAAAAAAUUGGGGAAAUCAAAAUUAUUAGGGUAGUAUAUUUAUAUAUGUUUUUAUAAGAGUAUAAAUUUAUAAAAUUUGGUUUAGUGACAAAGAAAUUUAAUUAGAACUUGUGGUUUUGUUGUUUAAAGUUAAUGAAAUGAGGAGGUCUUUGGUUCAAAACACCAUGGAUGUUUAUCUACAUUCCAAUUUUUACAAAUAUUUUGCAUAACUGUAUAAAUUUAUAAAUUUGGCUAAAUGAUCAAGAAGUUUAAUUAGAAGCAAUGAUUUUUGUUAUUUAAAAUUAACGAGAGGUCCUAAGUUUGAAAUGCUAUGUGCAUGUUUAUUUUUUUCAAUUUUUACAAAUUUUUGUUUGGUUGUUAAUUUAUUUACUAGCUAGUAGUUAUGUAGGUUGCUAUUUUUAAACAUAUGUUCCAAUUCAAGUCUAAUCUUCAACAAAGAGUAACGCGUAGACUAACUUUUUAGACCAAAUUUGCAAAUAAUAUUAAGUGUCAUCAAAAGGUUUAACUUAGUGUUCAUUCAUUACUUAUACGUAUCCUUGAAAACUCGAAAUCAUUAUUAUUAUUUUAGUCUUAUAUAUUGACGAGGUUAGUAAAUAAGAAAAAAUAUCUCACGAUUUAUACAAAAACACUUUAAAAGUUCAGAUGGAAAACAAAACUCAUAAUCUAUCUAUUUAUAAGCCCGAAGUUUUUUGGUUUCCUUCUCUCGAUACAAAAUAAAUUAGUUAUUCCGUGUUUCUAAUUUAUUGAGUUUGAAGUGUUUUUCUAAAUAUAAUUUUAUCGAUGUCUUGCGUGUGAAAACAAAUAUUUUUUUUUAUAUGAAGUGAGGGCACAUUUUUUGGCGUCGCUCCAGGGCUCAAAAAUCUCUGAACCGGCCCUGAUAUGGAUGGGGCGGUGAAGGGCCAUACUAAUAUAGGGGGUGUUGGAGUGGUGUCGCGGGACUGGAGGGGAGGAUUUUUAGCGGCAGGGGAGCAACAAUUUUCAGGGGUUACUUUGGUGCCGCUCCUGGAGCUGUUUGCAGUGCGGUAUGGUUUGCAGGUAGCACAAUUGCAAGGCUUUCAACAGGUUGUGGUUGAAAGUGAUUCGCAGAAGGUUAUUGCAGUUCUUAAUGGGACCUAUGCAGAUUCAUCGGCUUUAGGUAUGAUCGCGGAGGAUGUGUUGCAACUAGCUUCCAACUUUUCUAGGGUGAAAUUUAUUCAUGCCUCUCGUUUAUGUAAUGGGGUUGCCCACCAUCUUGCUAAGUUUGCUUUGUCUAGUAGCAAUAAUCUAGUUUGGAUUGAGGAGCCUCCUACUCUCAUUCAUGACCUCCUCCUCCAAGACAUAUGUAACUCAAAAUGAGUUUAGUUAAUCAAUACAAUGCUUCCUUUAAAAAUUUAAAAAAAAAAAGAAUAAGUCAUCAUUUUCUUAAAAGUAUAUGAAUGUCUUCGAAUCAAAUUAAUUUUUCUGAAAAAGAAAUUUAUAUGAAAAUAAAUGAUUCCAUUUAUAAUAUUUAUACAAUGAAAUGACACAUUAGUAGGAAAUGAGAACUUUCCUCCUUAUCCUCUUCAAAAAAAAAAGAACUUUCUUCCUUAUUUGAAAUAUCAUGGUAAAUCAAUUAUUUUUUAAGAGAUCGAUCCAACAAAUAUUUCCAUUUGAGGGACAAUUCUACGGACCACACUCUUCAUUGUUUUUUUUUUAUGAUUAUUUUUGGGCAAAAAAUGUAUUUUAAUGAUUCGAAUCAUCUAUCUGUAGCACUUGUUGAUUUAUGAAGUUUGACGAUCAAAAUAGAAAUUUCCGGUUAUUUUCAAUUAUUUGAUAUUUUUCUUGAUUUUUCUAUGACAUUUGUAUAUUCAAUAGCAUUAGUUAUUUUCAAAUUGAGUAGGGCCUAUUUGGAACGACAUUUGUAAGAAUUACUUUUGUUCAUAAGCGCUUUUAACCGAAGUGCUUAAGGUCACUUCUAAUAGAAAACCAAACCCAUAAGCAAUCCAAAUUGGCCAAAUUUAUGUUUUUUCAAACCAAAAUAAAACAAAACCCAAUAUUCGCAUUUCUCCUGUCGAUAUCUUCCUCUAUGGGAAUGAAACAAGUUAGAAUUUGAGCAUCCAAUCCAAAAGAAAACCGGAUAACCAUAUUUCUCCUCUAAAUAAUCUUUUUAGGAAGGACAGUUUUACAUAUUUCUGCCAAAUGAUCUAUUUGAGUUGGGGCUUUUUGGAGCCAAGUAUUUGUGCUCAUAAACGCUUUCGGUAAAAAUGCUUUUACUAGAAGCAUGUUGAAAUUUUGAUUCAAAAUGCAAACCGAGAAGCAGUCCCAAACACAUUCCCAAACAAAUUAUGAAACAGGUUAGGAUGCUAGCCUUGGGUGCCGCUUGGUUGAGAGGCCAAAGAUCUCUCAAGCCUUUGAUCCAAGGUUUCUGUAUCGACCAAAAAAGCAAUUAACUUCUUUGAUAGACAAACCACAUUGUUAAUUUGCUCACUGAGAUCAAAAGGGUGGGUGGUUAUCAAAACAUGACAUUGUUUGGGCCCAAAAUAUUAUUUUGGGCCGAGCUAGGAAUUGUUCUCAGCCCAAUAAUCUUCUUCUAGAAUUAUCAUGGGCCGUCCAGUCAUUGCAGGUCGUCCAGUUAGGAUAGGCCAAAUCCUAUUGUAGGAUGGAUUGGUUUAGAUAAGGAUGGAGUAGUCGAGACCUAGUGCAGUGAGGAGUCUUACGAGGCUAAGGAUGUUGAGACUUAGAAGAUGAAUCUGGUUUAAUGGUUAACUUGGUUCAAAUUCCUUUUGGAAUUAGGAUUGGCCGAAACCUAAUUAGAUUAGGUUGAGAAGUUCUAAUCCGAGUAUGAUUUUAGCCCGGCUAUGAAGGGUUUCACUACUAUAAAUAGAGGGGGGAGCAUACAUUCAAAGCCCCUCCAAUUCAACACACAAAACUACCCUGCGCAAACUCUCGCUCUACGCGAAACCUCUUAACAACCUUGAGAUUUUUAUUUUCUUUUUUUCCGCCAACACAUCUUCAGUUUGGAUAAACAACACUGUGAAGGUAACCGGCGACAUCUUUAGUUUGGAUAAACAACAUUGGAGUCGUAGAAUCAGCCGAUCAAGGAGCACCUUCAGUUUGGAUAAACAACACUGCUUUGAGACCGGCUGGUUAUUUAUCCAAGUCUCGGUCGACAAGGAUUUUUGAGUCCUUGUUGGUAGAGGUCAUCUCAUCAGUCUUCUCGACGAAGUGAGGUGUUACUAGGUUACUACAUUCGGCACAUUGAAAGCCGAAUUUGAUAUUGAGCUUCGCAAAACUAGCAGCCUUGUCUUCAGGGUCUAUAACUCGAAGGCCGAGAUAUGUUCCUUCCUCAGCCGCAGUCGCAAGAUCAAGAAGUCAGCAGUGCGCACAACGCCACAUCAACAUAUUUGACUCCCUGAGUGAGCUUGGCCGACGAGUUGGCACGCCCCACACACAACCGAAUGACGUAGUUAGCUUAUUAAUUACUCGGCCUGAGCGCCACGUAGGCUUGGUAGUUUUUAAGGUCAACAUUUUUUGCACGCCUAGUGGGGCACAAUGCUAAAGUUAUGAAGUUCAUGACCAUUGAGACACAUUCAUUAAAAAAGAAAACAGUCAUAAGAAAGUCAACGACCAACCUUUCAGUCCAGAACCCAGGACAAUAUGACUUGUCACAGGCAUAUAAUCCUUCUGUUGCCACGACAUCUGAGGCCACAAGCGUGACACGCUGAGAAAAAGAAGUUAAUCUCGGCGGUCAGCCACGUGGUGCAAAAAUUCCUAACAAAACCAAAGGCGUUUUCAUUGAAAGGAUAGUUGAGGAUUGCGAUGAGGAUGGUGGUGAAGGCUCUGAUCCACUAACUAGGUCGUUUCUUCAGGGACGACUUGAAGAGCAAUCUCGUUUCUUCGGGGACGACUUAAAGAGCAAUCUCGGCAAGUUGAACAGAUAUUCAGCAGAGAAGUAAAAAACAUACUCGAGGAGAUGCGUGAUAAUAACGCUAUACAAAAUAGAUGGCUUGAACUAUUGGUUAAUAAAGUCCACGAAGGUGGACUCGCCGAUGGUUCCCAACAACCUCCACUUAAAAAUAAUCUGUUACCCACGAUACAGGUCGAGACAGGAUCUGCUCGGCUCAAAACAAUCGACUUGGAAAAAAUAGGAGGAUCAAGCAGUAGAUCAGACAGAUUCGACCAGAAAACAAAAACGGCAUCGGUUAAUGUGGUCGAGAUCCAAAAAAUGAUUGAUUUAGCCUUAAAGAAGGGGCUGAAGUUUACAAAAUUCAUUCACCCAUAUCCAGCCUUCUUGGAGAAAUUCGAAUACCCCAAGGGAUUCAAAAUUUCGGACUUCAGCCUUUUUGUUGAAGAAUCAUCCCUAUCGUCAUUAGAACACGUAACUCGAUUCAUGGCUCAAUGUGGGGACUUUAACAGCGAUUUCCAUAAGCUACGAUUGUUCAACUUCUCACUAACCAACUUAGCCUUCGCGUGGUAAAUCAACCUCCCGCUGAACUCCAUCCAAAGUUGGGAGGAAUUAGUCGAAAGUUUCACGAACAGUUCUAUCGUCUAGGGAUGGACGUAUCAUUACCUUCCUUGGCCAUGAUGGCUCAAGCCUCUGAUGAAUCACCAAUGGAAUACCUUACGAGGUUUAAAUCGGCCAGAAAUUGGUGCCGAGUACCUCUCCCUGAAGUAGAGUUCGUUAGGCUCGCUCUAAACGGCCUGGAUGUGGAGUACAAAAGAAAUUCUUGGGGGUAAACUUUCGAGACAUGCACGAACUGGCUCAACAUGUCGAGCAAUAUGAUUAUUAGCUUUGAGAAAAAAAGAUCUCGAAGCCUCAAUCCCGAGGAACGAUUUACAAAAACCCUAUGGUCAGUUAUGCAUCGGCUGAAAGCGAAGAAUCUCAAUAUGCCAGUAUUGACGCGACCAAAAUAGUAAUCGAUAAACCAUAUGUAUGCAAAGCAUUGGCCCAUGCUAAUCUCAAAGAUGCAAAAACCCGCUCGGCCUCUGAGGAAGCUGUCGUCAAAACAACAAAAGUCUAUACUUUUGACAUCACCAAGGUUGAUGCCAUCUUUAAUCAGUUGUUAUUCGCAAAGAUCAUUAAGCUUCGACCAUGGCAUAAUAUUCCUAAGGCUGAAGACUUGAAAGGAAAAACUUAUUGCAAAUACCAUAACUCGAACAAACAUACGACAAACAACUGUGUCGUAUUUCGCGAUGCCAUUCAAAGUUGGAUCGAUAAUGGUAAGCUCAAGUUUCCCUAGAAACAAAUGGGUAUUGACACCGAUCAUUUCCCUACAGUGAUGGUAAGCAUGGUAGAUGCUCAUCUACCCAAAAACAAAGGAAAAGGAAAGGUCGAGUUCAUUCCAAUCCAAUUCAUCCCAAAACAGAACUCUUGACCACUAUUAAAGAUUGAUUUGUUUUCAAAUGAGUUGCCCAAAGACUUUUCAGGACCGACUAUCGUCGAGUCCAUGUCAGACUCCAACGUAGAGGAAGCGGACAGACCGAUGGUUUUGUAUAGUCGGUGCAAAGCAAACGUUAUCUUAACUGAGCCAAAGGAUAAGCCAAUUCGAGCUACAAUACCAGAACAGUCAUCCACGGCCGCAAUGAUACCUCAAAAGGUGUUUGGCGCAGGCCAAUGCCAGAAAUUUUCGAUUGGCUUGGUCCUCAAACACAGAAUGACAGGCCACCUUCAGCCAGACCGCGACUCGACUUCGACGCACCGUUUUAUAAUGACGAUUAUUAUGCGCGCAACUCCAAUAGUUCGAGUUCAUCCGCAAACCAGAAACCUUCAAGCCACCUGAGCCACGCGACCAACGUUGGUAUAGUUAUAACUCUUCUACCGGCAUAUAUACCGCACUGUCUAAAUCGUAAAAACUCCAGCGCCAACAAAUAGACUGCAUGGCUUACCGACAUGCGGCCCAGGCUACCUCAGCUACCAAAUGGUAGCCAAAAGAAACAGCAGGUAGCGAAGAUGAUCGACAACCUCUGGCAAUCAUGGCCAAGUUACUUCAAGGAAAAAAGGUGAUCAAUCGUGACUUUGAAACCAUAAUUGAAGAAUCUGAUAAUCGCAUCAAACUCCUUCUUUAGCCUGGGGAGAUGAAAGAUCGAUUCGAGCACUUCAGAAAUGAAGCAGAAGGUUUGAAAGAUCGAUUCGAUUCCAUUACCCUCACAAGAACCAUUAAUUAAAGUCCAACGAAAUCUUCACCCACCAUUCCUCGGCGAAGCUUUGAAAUACAUGCGGGAGUUUCACAAGAAGCAUUCCGCUAAUGACCUAUACGGCUUACCAAAAGCUUGCCAAGAGGCUCUUGACCUGGCACUAACUUACCCUGAUACCGAACAGAUCAUCUAGAAGACAACAGAUCCGAGGAUGAAAGCCAAGUUCUAACAUAUCCGUGAAGCUCGAGUUCUCGGCUUCGAGGUUGAACCAUAUACUGGUAUAGAUACUGCCGAGCUCACUUUCUCUCUCGAGAACCUCUAAUAUAUGCGAUAUCAUUUUGAAGUUUUUCAACUGUCCCUCUUCGACCUUACAGCUGACAAAAAAGAGCGUGUAACACGUUUAGAUACUUACCUGGACACAACGGACACCCUCAUCGCCUGUCAAGAGCGGACUCGUAAGGCUUCACAAGAGCAUAACCAAAUCCCAAUGUCGAGCAAGCUCAGGGAUGACAAUCAGGAUGAAACAAGUUCGAUGGAUGUACCACAGGAACAAUUACUCGCUGAAGCAGAAGAUGAACAAGCAGAGGAUACCCAAUAGUAGGAUGCCUCGCCCGAAAAUCCACAAGACGAAGAUCACGACCCGAUGGGCCCUUCGGUUCUCAAAAAUAUGGAAAUCAACAUGGUCCACGUUUUACCCGUUGAGUUUCAACCAACCACGUCCCAACCAAAUUUCCUGGAUGGUGACGUGGUUGCUGAGGAAGCAACACAAGUCUACUUCAUCGCCACCGAGGUGACCGAGCAAGUAAGCAAAGAAAAUAAACUUAAGGCAACUCUUGCCGAACUGUUCCCCCGCUCUUCUUCCGUUAAUCUUCAACAUUUAAAUCUGUUAUAUGUUACAACUCAUAUUAAAGGCUAUCUGGUCUCCAAAAUCUUUGUCGACUGUGGAGCGACGAUCAACAUCAUGCUCGUUACUAUCAUGAAGGCAUUACGUCAUUCCAAUGACGAACUCAUUCUAUCAGGGGUCACCAUGAGCAGCUUUGUCGAUGACAAAUCCCAGACCAAGGAAGUGCUUCCGCUGGAAGUAAAUAUCGCAGGUCGUAAUCAUAUGACCGUGUUUUUCAUAAUCAAUUUGAAGACCAAGUAUAAUGCAUUGCUCGGUCGUGGCUGGAUCCAUCAAACGAGCAGCAUCUCCUCGUCGUUAUAUAAAAUCCUCAUCUUCUGGGACGAUAAAUCAAUCGUGGUUCAUCCGGGUAAUAAUCAGUCGUUCGAGGCUAAUAUGAUUCAGGCUCGCUAUUACGACAAUCACGUCGGCUACCUUACCUUGCAAGGUUUUAACGAGGAAGGACGACCGACUCAGAUCUUAGUUCAGAAAGCCAUCGAGGUAGGCGCUGAGACUGUUCACCAGGAUUCGGCGAGACUAGGGUUGGCCAACUUGAUUACCGACCCUGAUGUCUGAUACUAAACACAACAGGCGCCGGGCCGUGGUUUCAUCCACCAUGGAAUGACUGCUGGCCCAUUAGUAUGCCAUUUCCAAGCAACCAAAUUCAGGCGUAAACUUAGUAGAGUUUUUGGCCGAAGGAGACAAUGGUCCAGUUCUAUCACUAGACAAGGUUCAAGCUGCCUCAGCCGAGCUCGAAGACAGUCGACCCCAAGUCAAGGAUCGAUAAAUUUUUCGACGUAAAUCAUAAUAAAUCCCGAAAACAAAAUUCUAAAUUUUAUCUAAUCAAAUUUUCAUAACCAUAAAUCUAUUUAUUCUCGAUUUAACAUAUUCAUAUAUUUUUAAUUUUCAGGGUAUUACAGUUAUUCAUCGAUCAGUCAUGUCUAACUUGAGGCACAAUCCCGACAUGAAUUUCUCCUGCUUCUAAUAGAAUGUGACUAUUCAGGCAGAAUGAGGAUUGCACAACCGUGCUGAAGAACAUCAAUGAACGGAAGCCGUGACACCCAUAUGAAAUCAAGGCUGACACACCACUAGAAUACGAGAAGAUCCUACAUAUGCUCCAUAUGCUCUGAUACCAAACAGACAUGCCCUAACCCCGAUAUCCUCAAAUAUCAGAGUAGGCACGUGCUAGCUGACACCCGAGGGGGACAAAGCCAUUAAAAAUAUGCAUAUCGAUAAAAUAUGUAAUUAGAAAGAGAUACACUAGUGUAGAAUCGUGUUCAAAGCAUACAACUAAUCAAGAAUAAAGUGAUUAAAUUAUGAUAGAAAUGUAUGAACAGAGGAAUGGGUCCUACACAAAGGAGGCUCGAGAUGCUUAAGUGGAAGUAUCCUGAAGCAGAGAUCGUAUGCCUCGAUUCUAACUUCUGAGGGGGCACAAAACAGAAAAGGUGAGUGGACCAAGUUUAUAAUAAUACUAAUAAUAAGAAAACCAUUUUAUUUAUGAACAUACUAACCCCAUGUUUUGAAAACAUAUAUAAUAGUACAUAUAGUAAGGUUUCUGAAAACUCUAGCAUGCCAUGCAAUUAUUCGCAAAACAAGUGCGUGUAAAACCAUGCUCGAUAACGGUGUUAUCAUCGCUCAAAGGCAAAUCCAUAAAUCUCAUCAAUAUUGUACUCUCUAGGGGUAUCAUAGUCGCUCAAAGUCUAAACAUGUCCAUCACCCGAAGGUGAAGCUGUACGACAUUGGGUUACACCAGUGAAUAAGCAUGGUAGGCCCUAUCACCUGAAGGUGAAGUUGUACGACUCCGGGUUACGCAGGAGAAAAAAUAUAUACAUCACACAUCGAUAGUAGCCUCGAACCAGUGAAGUUGGGGGUAUAUCAUCAACUCAUCAUUUUCGUAAAGGUAGUACCUGUCCAUCACCCUAAGGUGAAGCUAUAUGACUCCGAGUUACGCCAGAAAAGAAAUCUAUCCAUAAAUAUCCUCAAUUGUAUCCUAUGGCCAUAGACAUCUACAUACCCCGUGUUCUGUGGAUGUGCUGUAUGAUAACCCGCUAGAUAAGUACCGAAAACAUACCUUAGAAACUCAUAUCCAAAUCCGGAGCUCACAAGCUCAAGCCUUCUUUCACAAAUCCAAGAUAAUUCACAUUCGUAAGUCCAAAUAAAUCACAAUCGUAAAUCCAUGAAAUUUCAUAAGCGAAAACCCAAUAUUUCAUAACCUUUCAUAAGAUGUAAAUUCGAUAAAUCAUAAAUAUCUUGUAAAUCAUAAAUAUAGAAAUCUGGAAAACAUAAUAUAAAGCAUAUUCGAUGCAUCAAUAUCAAAUGCAUGCAAGCCUAAUAUUUUGUGAAAACAUGCAAGUUUAGAAGGGGUCCACUCACAGAUAUUUAGUUGCCCGAGAGUUGUUCGAACUAGCGAGGAUGGUGUCACUUCCCACCAAUGCACCUAACCACAAUUUACGACCAUUUAGUAAAACUAUAUCUAAAAGAUAGAAUUUGGGAAAACGGACGGUGAAUUCGGAUUUGGCAUGUCGAAAAACCUAAGGAGGGACCUCGAGUUUUCCCCCUAAGCGCCACCGCACGAGCCGCCACAAGGCGGCGGCUCGAAAGGCCACACGUGCCGCCGUAAGUGGUGGUCGGCAGCCCCGACUCGCCGAAAAUUUCAACAACUCUAAAAAUUCCUAAAUUUUAUAAUAAUGAAAAUCUCAAUGAGAGGAACAACUUUUAUACCUGGGCCGAAGUCCAAUUCGGCUGGGAAAUACCUCAAUUCACCCUCGAUCCAUCGAAACCUGUUAGGACCUCAGAAAUAGUAGACAACUGUUAGUCUUGGUAUUUUGUCUUAUCCUUGUUGUAGAUGGUUCCAUUCAAUGGUAGUGAGGGUGGAGAUGUGUUCCAAUCUGGGCACCCCCCAUUUUAGGGUUAUAUAUAAACCCAUUUUCACCAUUUGGGAAAGGCAUGAAUGAAAAUCAAAUGUCUUAGUUUAUUCCUUUCCCUUUUUCCUUUAUACUCUCUGCAUUGUUUUAUCAUUGGGUUCUAUCAUCUAGUAUCAACGACAGAUUGUUGCCAUCCAUGGGCAAAAGCAAAGCCUUCAUGGUGGUGGCCGUCGUCACGGAGGCCGACCUCGAAAUGGAAUACCAACAAUAUCAAAUCUUGGAGCAGCUUAAUGGGUUUCAAGACUCGGUGUCCUUGUUAGCCACUCACCAAGAAUCGUUCCAGUCGAAUCUGACCGACAUUCAGGCUUCCUUGGCUAAUAUUAGCCUAGUCCAUAAUCAUUUAAUGGAGGAGAUCCGUGCUUCCAAGCAACAACCAUCCCCAUCCACCAUUCCUUCCCAAAUCCCAAUCGGUUCCCUCCACAUCCCCUUGGGUUCGACAUCCACUCAAUUGCCCCUACCCUCCCAACCCUUUCCAUUACUCAUCCUCCAACAUGAGACACCCAUUACUCUCACUCCCCUUCUAUCCCUUAUACCCCCAAUCACCGGUUACCCACAGCCGUCCCCUAUCCACUCAACAUCUACCACCACAUUCCGUCCCCACCUUCCAUCCUCUUCCUUUCACAUUUCCCAAUAGCCACCAUUCAAUCAAAGGCCACCACCUACCUUCAUUGGACCGAAACACAUAAAGAUUGAGCUAUCUCGAAUCUUCAACAAUGUCCCGUACAGUUGGCUAGGCCUAGCAGAGGAGUACAUGGAUUACCAACGGGUCAAUGCCGCCAACCAGGCCACAAUUGUUGGCCUCUACUUUACUGGAGAUGCUACCCUUUGGUUAAAAUAAUACAAGCUGCAUAUUGGGUCUGGGCUUUGGGCCACCUUUACCGAGUCCCUUCUCCAACGGUUUGGGCCGGGCGACUAACUGGACUUCAACAUGUCAUUUUCCCAUGUAUCUUAGAAAGGCCCACUAAAGACUUACAUCGAUGAUUUCAUCCAAUUGUCAUGUCGGGCCCAAGGUUGGUCUGAUUCCCAACUCUUAAGAGUUUUUCUUGGUGGGUUGAAAUAUGAACUUUAAGAUAAUGUCUUAGCCGUGACCCCCUCCACUUUGGCCCAUGCUAUUGAGUUGGCCCGUAUUUAUGAAAACAAGCACCAACGUCGUAAGAGUCCAUUCCGCCCAUUUCUUACCCGGCCUUCCUCCACCCAACCCGUUUCAUCGUCAUCUUUUCCACCCCCAUCUCCAAGACCAUCUUCGCCCUCUACGGCAAGGCCACCAUUGCGUAUUUCCCCCGUCGAAGUUCGAGAACGCCACGCCCGAGGCCAAUGCCUUUAUUGUCCCAACAAAUACUACUCGGGCCAUACCUAUGCCACCCCCCCACCUGUUACUUUUAAACGUUACUGCUAUCUCCGAUAUUGCCGUCGAGCCACCUCUUGACGACCCUCUGCAGGCGCCCGAUGAGAUUUCGUCGGAAAACCCUAUCCCUAUCACCCUCAACGCGCUGGCUUCUUCUAAGCGCACUUGUGGUCGGGCAAUGCGCCUGGUGGGUCAUAUUGGGACGUUACCCAUUCAAGUAUUUUUCGACUCAAGGGCUAAUCUCAACUUUCUCAACCCCCUCUGAUCUCGCGCCCUUCGACCUUCGCAUCGACACCUCCCUCAUAGAACCUAUUACGGUUGCUAAUGGUCGCAUUUGUCACACACAAAGGCUUGCCUACAAUGUCUCAAUUCAGUUGCAUGACUACAUUUUUUCUUCGAAUAUACAGCUCUUGCCCGUUGUGGGGUGCGACUUAGUUCUAGGAGCUGAAUGGUUGGAAACCUUAGGGUUUAUUGGCUGGCACUUCAAGAAUAAAAUCAUGCAAUUCCAAAUCAAUGGCACCAACUAUAUACUGGUGGACCUGCGCACCAUAGAGUCAUCACCCUCCUUAGUUUCUUCACGGGUGAUCUUGAGUCCCUUAGUAGCCUUCCUGAUGCACACUUCUUCCCCUCUUGAAGGCUCCCUUGCUACACCACUACCGAUCAAACCGAUCCUGCAUACGUACUCAAACCUUUUCGACCCUUCCACAUGGUCAACUAACCAUCGCAUCACUUUAUUGCCCGGCUCCCAUCCGGUGAAUAUUCAACCGUAUCGCUACGCCCAUGCUCAGAAAACAAAGAUUGAACGUCAGGUGGAAGACAUGCUCGCUGCCGGCAUCAUUCACCCCAGCUCGAGCCCCUUUUCUUCACGUGCUUUAUUGGUCCAUAAGGCUGAUGGAUAUUGGUAGUUUUGUGUAGACUACCCCAAACUCAAUCAAGUUACCAUCAAGUUCCAAUUUCCCGUCCUAGUAAUUGACGAACUGUUAGAUGAACUCUAGGGCGCCACAGUCUUCUCCAAGUUAGACCUCCGAUCGGGUUUUCAUCAAAUUCAGAUGUAUGAGCCUGACAUUCCCAAAAUAACGUUUCAAACACAUGACGAACACUUUGAAUUUCUGGUGAUGCCAUUCGGGCUCUGCAACGCCUCUUCCACUUUUCAGGCCUUAAUGAAUUCUAUCUUUAAGCUCUUUCUCUGGAAGUUUGUCCUGGUUUUCUUCAACGAUAUUCUCAUCUUUAGCUCGACCUUGCAAACCCACCUCACACAUUUAGUUUCGGUGUUUGAGGUCCUGCGUGCCCAUAACUUGAAACUCAAGACUUCGAAAUGCUCUUUUGGACAAACCACAGUCGCCUAUGUGGGACACAUCAUCUUGACCGAAGGAGUAGUUUUCGACUCUAACAAGGUUCAGUGUAUUGUGGAUUGGCCUUAGUCUCGCACCAUCAAGGGAUUAAGGGGAUUUUUAGGCCUUGUGGGCUACUACCGCAAAUUUGUGUGUCACUUCAAUUUACUCGCCUACCCACUGACCAAACUACUGAAGAAAGAUAAUUUUCAGUGGUUUCAUGCGGCGACUCAAGCUUUUUCAGCUCUCAAGCACACCAUGUCCUCCACCCUGGUGUUGGCCCUCCCUGACUUUACACAUCUAUUCACCAUCGAAUGGGACGCAUCCGACACCAGCAUUGGGGUUAUCCUCUCCCAAAACCAACACCUCAUUGCUUUCCUCAGUAAGCCUUUAGCGGAAAAACACAAAGCUUUAUCGGUCCAUGAUAAGAAGAUGAUGGUCAUUGUGUUCGCAGUACAAAAAUGGUGCCCUUAUUUGCUCGGGCACCCUUUCAAAAUUAUGAUUGAUCACCAAAUCUUGAAAUUCUUCCUCAACCAGCAAAUCAUAACGCCCACUCAACAGAAAUGGCUCCUCAAAUUAUUGGGCUACAACUACACACUUGAAUAUCGCUCGAGUUCUACGAACUCAGAUGCCAAUGCCCUAUCCCGGCAACAUAAGUACUUGGCCCUUAUGGGUCUUUCCCAACCUAUCUUCGAUAGCAUUUCGGAGAUCCAAGGUGAAUACACACAGGACCCGGAUGCCUCUCUGUCAUCCUCCAAGCACUACACAAUUCCAAACCGACGCAAUCACAUUUCUCUCUCUGAAUAGAGUUUUUCUAUUACCGUGAUGGCAUUUUUAUGGUGGCCUCUUCUCUUUGGCGUAAUCGCAUCUUAUAGGAAUUCCACUCUUCUCCAACUGUAGGGCACUCGGGGUUCCUCCGCACUUACAUACAAGUUCGCUGUAACUUCAAUUGGCUAGGUUUAAAGAAGGCAGUUAAAUCCUUUGUUGCUUGCUGCGAUACCUGCCAGCACACCAACUACGAGUCCAUUAAAUCACCGAGGUUGCUUCAACCACUUCACAUCCCCUCUCAAAUUAGGACAAACAUAGCUAUGGAUUUUAUUGAAUGGCUUCCUUCCUCCCAAGGCCAUAAUGCCAUCUUGGUUGUCAUCGAUCGCCUCUCCAAGUAUGCACAUUUUCUCACCAUCAAACACCCCUAUUUGGCAGCAAAUGUGGCUGAUAUAUUCCUCCGUGAGGUGUUCCGCCUCCAUGGCAUGCCCUAAACAAUCACCAGUGAUCAUAACCUCAUUUUCAUCAUCCAUUUUUAGGAAUCAUUCUUCAAACUCCACGGUUCUCAACUAUGCUACAGCUCGGCUUACCACCCUAGUCGGAUGGCCAAACAGAGGUUCUGAACUGCACCCUGGAACACUACCUGCAUAGCUUCGUGGGCGACAAACUAAGUUCUUGGGUUGAUUGGCUGCCGUGAGCGGAAUGGUGGUAUAACACCAUCUUUCAUUCAGCCACUCAGAUGACCCCCUUUAAGGCCGUCUAUGGAUAUCCUCAUCUACGUGAUUAAAUUAUGAUAGAAAUGUACAACCCUUUGUGACCGAGAUGCCUUACUCCGCCUCCUUUGGGAAAAUCUGCAGCUCACUCAAAAUCGAAUGCGCUACUACAUUAAUAAAAAGCGAUCGACACGUUACUUCACAAUGGGAGAUUGGGUCUUCCUCCGCCUCUAACCUUAUUGCCAAUCUUCGAUCAAUCAUAAAAACUACCCCAAAUUGGCACCCAGGUUCUAUAGUCCUUACAAGGUUCUUGCUCAUGUUGGGAAGGUUGCCUACACCUUGGACCUGCUUCCCGACUCUCGCAUACACCCCACCUUCCAUGUUUCCCUCCUCAAACCUAAGCUAGGUUCUAAUGUGAUUGCUGCCUUUGUGCUUCCUCCUAUGUCCGACAAGGGACUUGUGACUUGGAAACCGGAAACCAUUAUACAACGAGGCAUAUUUAAACGGGGGAACCAUGCGGUCACGCGAUGGCAGAUCAAAUGAAUGGGCUUACUGGAACACGAUGCUACCUGGGAGGAUGCAGACAUCAUUCUUGAACAUUUUCCCGACUUCAACGCUUGAGGACGAACUCUUUCUUAGGGAGCAAGAUUGUUAGGACCUCAAAAAAUAGUAGACAACUAUUAGUCUUGGUAUUUUGUCUUAUCCUUGUUGUGGAUGGUUCCAUCCAACGGUAGUGAGGGUAGAGAUGUGUUCCAAUUUGGGCACCCCCCCUUUUAGGGUUGUAUAUAAACCCCUUUUCACAAUUGGGGAAUGGCAUGAAUGAAAAUCAAAUGUCUUAGUUUAUUCCUUUACCUUUUUCCUCUAUACUCUAUGCACUGUUUCAUCACUGCGUUCUAUCAAAACCCUAGAAAUUGGUGGUCUCAAUUCAUCACCAAAAUGAACUAUGAUGCCUCAUCCAAUGCUUAAGCCUUUCUCCUGGGGUUGAGAAUAGUCUAUUGGUAAUGGUGAUCGUCAGUGUUAGCUUCAGAAACGGUGGAUCGCCGCCAUGGGUGAUGGAGAAGACGACGUUCAUUCGUCGUGAAAUCGUGACCCACAACCAUCAAGUUUGGGUAGGAAUGGAAGCUAGGACGAUGCUGAGUUGAUUGGUGGUGGUUAUUCCCCGUGAUUCGCUGGAGAAACAAUGUGAAAGGCGUCAGGGUGUUCAUAGGAAUCGGGUCGGGUCGCGAGUCGAAUGGAGGUCUGGAUUCCCUCCUUUUCUCCUCCCUCAUUUCCCCUCCUUGCCCUUUCUUCUGAUUGGUUAGUCUCUCUUCCCCUUCUUCCCGAUUGGGCAGUCCCCCCACUCCUUUCUCUCCUCUUCCUUCCAUCACAGCCACACAUGUGGCACCAUCUCACUGCUCUAGUAAUUCUGGAGCCUUCCAGAUUUAUGGUCAAAUUAUCAUUUUGCCCUCAACUUCAAUCGUUUAUAACUCCAAAUUACGUUCCAUUUGCACCCACGCCUUCGUAGCGAUGAGUACUACAAGAAUAUGCCAAGAAAACGGAUCUUACGUGACACGACAAGGCAGUUAACAAAAGUCAACGUAUUUACCUCAAAGGGCAUUUUCGUAAUUUCACAUUUUAAAAUUAUAAAAACCGUAAUAAUUGGAGACGGAUCGUUACAUUUUUGGCUCCACAUAAGCAAGAACUUGAUGGUCAAUCUCAAUUGUGAAUAAACCAAGCGAAAUUAGCUACACAAAUAAAGGGCCUAAUUGGGUAAGUGAUCACCACAGUUAUAGGCUUAUAGGGUAGUCAAAAGAUAGUCCCAGUAGUAAAAAAAAAAAAUCGGAUUAAAUCCUUAUGGUGAAGUCCUUUAGGAAUAAAGCUCAAAACCAAAAUUUUUAUUAGUUUCUCCAUUAAGCAUCGAGUGACUAUCCUUCAAUAUGUUUCUCAUCAAUGUUCCAGAAACUUACCGGCUCAAUCUAACAAUAACAAACUUGAAUUCCAACCAUCCUAUAUGGUGGGGUGGUCAGCCCUCAACAGAACCAAUUGCUACUCUUUGCUUUCUUUUUUUGCGGCACAGCAGCUUCACUUGCACCUUUGAGACCGGACACUGUUUGCUUCCUUCAUUUCAAGUACCUUGUGCUAACAUCCGCCUCUGAAAGCCUAGCUGGAAGAUACAAUUUUACAUUCUUGAUUUCCUUGAUUUAAUUCCUCCAGGCAACAUCAGAAUUGUAAUUACGUCGAUGUGGAAGGUACUCCUAAGACUUAAAGAGUGCCGAGUCCAACUAGCUCAGUGACCCUCAAACAUCUAACAAAUGACAGUAAUUCAUCAUCUAAAUCAGGACCAACCAAAACUAGUAAUCCUUUUGUGGAUAGUAUUCAGGCAAAUUCCAGUUAUUGACUGCCAUUGCACAAAGGCUUCACAUGAACAAUUCCCCAGCUGAGUCUAAAACCAUUCUCAAGUUUUGUACUUUCAGACCAUUAACACCUGCCAAUCUUGACUCAACAUAAUUUAUAAAAUUGGGCCUUGGCCUAAGUUCAGAGAAUUGUUCCCAUGCCAAAACCUGAUCCAAUUGGGAAUGAGACUUGAGGGUGAGUUCUAAAUCAUCACCACCUAUUUUUACUUCGUCCAAAGCUACAAUCUUCCUCUUUAACAAACCCAAAUCUCUGUAAAUGCUAGCAGGAACAGUGGGUGCAAGCGCAAUUCUUGUUCCCCAAGCUAAAUGAAUUGCAAUGGGAAAACAUAUAUUAUAUUACCAUCAUGAAAAACAUACUCUGACAACCAGUAAACAAGAAAAGCUUUGUGCUCAAAUUCAUGCCCGCCCUGAUGAACUUCUUCAACCACAAGCAUGUGUGAGCCUUGUUAGACCCUCCUCUAUAAAAUUCCUUUUUCUCUGCUAGCAGUUUCUCUUCAAAUUGUUUCAGCUCUGUGGUUUUUAAAGGGCUUAAACAGAGUGCUCCAAAAUCAAAAACCGCCCUAAAACCAUGACAUCUUCUGAUGUGAUUGUUGCUUCACCCCACGGAAAGAUGAAAGUAUUGGUCCCAAAACACUAUUUCUCUGCAAACCCAUAUGCCAAAUCGGUCUUUCUUCCUACAUGGUACAUCGAAUUUAGGAUAGCUUCAUAAAUGCCAGCCUUCUUCCAGGUAGAUUGGUGAACAGAUGCCAUAUGAUCGACCCAAGUUUUCCAAUUUUUUGGCUGUAAGUCCAUCCAAGAAUUUCAACUUUUAAGGGCCAUUUCUUUGGCUCGAAAUGUGAUGGGAUGAAGGAGAAAAAAGAUGGGAGCUUGAAAAGGGGUUCAUCAAUGGAGGAGUUCUGCAAAAUGGGUUUUAGAAAGUAGGCUUUUUUGAGAAAUGGGUUUCCACCAGAUGGGGGAACCAUCAACUCCUCUCUUCCACCAUGGAUUUUUUUUUCUCUCUUUCUCUUCUGCUUGAAAGUUUCGGAUUUUUUGGGGGUUUAGGAUGAAAUAUGAUUCCAAAAUGUCUAGAGCAUUCAAAAAUGGUUUGAUGAGAACGAGUCCACAAUUUCCGUCGAUGGAAUAAAUUAGAGUUUGCGUGAGUAACGGAAGUUGGUCCGAAAAUAUGACGAGGGCUACUCUAUUGUGCAGAUCGGAGGUGAAUGUCCGAUCAUAAUCCUAGCUAGCUAGCUAUUUUUUUGCUUAAUCGGAAUCAAUUCUAAUAUUAUUAUAUUUUUUUUAGUACAACGAUAUAUUUUACACUAAGGGAAUGAGGAGUUCGGCUAAGCUACAAAAUGGGCAAUCUAAUUUGAUAUCGAAUUCGCCAUCCAAAGAUUCAAGCCUUAGACAUUUCUCAGUUACUAGUGAAGAUGAAUACUACCAAAUCGUAGUACUGAGUGACAAUUCUUUUAUUCAAUAGCAGAAAUGCUCCUAAGUAUAGUAGUAACUCGAACCUUCUUUUUUUUCAGUCAAACAUGAACUUCAUUGAUAGAAGAAAAUGUUACAGAUGUUUAAUAAGAUAAACAUAAAAAUAAGCUGCAAUUAGACCGAAAAGACAAGGAAGUCCAAAGAAAAAGCACAUGAUGACCAAAUCAGAUCAAUCCGUUGAUAGAAAUCGUCACCAUCACAGUCACUAUGCAACUCGCCAUUCCAGUGCUCAGGUCCGUCACCACCAACAAAAACCAAAGGCCCCAAAACAAAAACACAAAUACAAGGCAGCCCCAAAUGAAAUACAAAAUAAAUCCCUAAAUUCGCAACAUCAAAGAUCCACAAAUAGUACAGUAAAAUUAUCCAAAAACACUCAACGGACCAAAGAAACAACCAAAUCCAGCAACCGUGUCCACCACUCGAGGACCAGCAACGGAAGAAUUCUGAUACCAACAAAGCAAGUAGACAACAUAAUCAGAACCGCAGAAGGAGGCGAGGCAAAGACCCAAACCACCAAAGUGGUUUUGCACACCUUCAUUUGUGUGACGGACGACUCGCUCUCGAGGUGGGUAGCAAACACAACGGCCAGAAAACUUUUCUCAAUUGAAGGUAAGCAUCUAGCAGGCAAUUGGAGGAUAUGUGGGUGAAGGGAUGGAAAGACAGAGGAGAAGAGAUGUAUGAGACACAAAGUGGGGAAAUCUGAGAUGUUGUAAGGUUUAGGGAUUUGAGAUAUUUUUUGAGCUAAUUUGGAUUUGGUGCAACAAAAUGAAACAAUUGAGAAGAAACAACUGAGAACAUGUCUCUAUAACAGUCACCAAAUCUGACACGCGAAUGGAAAGAUGAGUGAUUUUGAUGGUGUGGAUGUUAAUCCACGGUAUGAGAAUUUGUUGGGGACAGUUCUCACUCCCUUGAACAUUUUGUGAGAAUUUGUAGGAACCUUCGCCUUUGGGUGAGGGUCGACGUUUUCAUGUCCUACUCUGAGGAGCUAACCUCGCAUAAUUAUUUUAAUUAAAAGAAUUAUGUAAUAUGAGGAAUGAGGCCUGAUUAAAACAACUUUCAAAUUUUCUAGGAAUUAGCAAAAAAAAUACAUGUUUAUGAAGGUUCUCUUAAACGUAGAGUUAUCUAACUAGCUAGUAUUUUUUUUUUAAGGACCUCGGCGGUACGAGAAAAUUUUAUUGUUAUGAAAAAAUAAAGUUACACCUAAUCAGGGAGGAAAUAAAUCUUACCCCUCAUAAAGCAAGAAAAGCAAAUACAGGAAAAGAGGGGGAUAUAAACCUUACCUUUCUUGAAAAAGAAAAUACAAGAAAAAGAGGGAGGACAUAAACCAUGACCAUUUUGAAAAAGAAAAUACAAGAAAAAGAGGGAGACGUAGGACAAGACCCCUCUAACUAGGUAGCUGUAAUAUCAUUCUUUUUAAUAUGUAACCCCCUCAGCUUGUUGAUGGUUAGCAUCCCAAAUGGUUCGGAAAGGGAAGGCAGGGUUUGAGCAGAUAGUUUUUGUGAGACAAAAAACAUUGUUGGUCGAGACCCAGGAUGCGUAUGCACACAAGCCAAGGAUAAACUCAUCACAAGCACCACUGCCUUUGCCAAUGCAUUGGUUGGAGGGUCCAACCUUUGAUCUAACAAAUCUUUAAGAAGCAACUCUGCAUUUUCAUUCAUUGAUGUUGAUGCUGAUAGUUGAGACUCAAGCAUAUCCCCGGGGUGCCUUCCCAUCAUGACUUCUAGUGCCACCACUCCAAAGCUGUAUACAUCACACUUAUCUGUGACUCGCAUAGUGAAUGCAAGCUCUGCAGAUCAAGGAAAACAAAACAAGCAACCUCAAAACAUAUCUCAAUCAACGAAACAAUGCCAAACAUGCAGAGUAUUGAAUUGCUACAUUACCUGGUGCCAUGUAGCCAAAUGAACCAGCAAUAUGUGUCCAGUUGGAUGAGUCACUACUCAAUAGUCUUGCUAUCCCAAAAUCAGAGAUACGGGGCUCAAAAUCCUGUUCGAGCAAUACAUUGUUGAUGGUUACAUCACGGUGCACAAUUGGUGGAGUGCAGUCAUGGUGCAAGUAAGAAAGUGCAUUAGCAAGUCCCUUCACAAUUUUGACCCUUGUAGCCCAGCCAAGUUCAGUAACCCCUUCAAUCCCAUAUAAAGAUUUUCCCAGACUGCCUCUCUCUAAGAAUUCAUAAAGCAAGAAUAUACAUCCCCUCCUAGAACAGAAUCCAUAUAGCCUUAUGAUGUUGCGAUGCCGGGUAUUUGUCAAAGUUCGGAUUUCAUUUUCAAAACUUCGAAGAUUAAUUCCUGGGAUAUCAUUAGAGUCUUCUGUGUUAAGUCUCUUAACUGCAAUAACUUGACCUGAUUCGAGCUCCGCCUUGUAUACUCUACCAAAUCCUCCUCUUCCAAUGCAAUACUUCUCGUGAAAGUCGUCUACGGCCUUGAUAACUUCCCGAAAUGUAAAUUUAACUUCUUCUUGCAUUAUCAUCGACUCAAUAUUCUCAAAUUCUUUAGAACUUUUGAUUUUCUUAAGAACGGCCUCGGAUUUCUUCCGAAACUUUAAAAUCAGAGCGAUGGCAGCGACAACCAUUGAUAGGCCACAAACCGGUACAAGGACACCAAUUAGAACUGUGCUGUUAUUCUUUCUGAAACUACAUUCCUUUAGGCCUUCAGCAUGCCCACAUAAGCCAGAGUUUCCAGAAAAAGCAUUUGUCAAUGCUUUUCGGAAAAUGCCACCAGUUGGGAUUGGACCCUUCAAGUUAUUAUAAGAAAAGUCAUACCGUUCCAAACGAGGCAUGCUGGAAAGUGCUGAUGGGAUUUCCCCUAAGAGAUGGUUGUGUGAGACAUUGAGAACCACUAACAUCGUGAGCUUGUCCAGGUUUGAAGGUAUUGCUCCCGAUAGAGAAUUGCUGCUAAGAUCCAAGGAGUGACUUGUGUAUAUGUCAGUAAUCACCGCUGGUAUUUCACCCGAUAAAUUGUUGUGGCUUAUGUUAAAGCUUGUUAAACAGCAAAACGAGCCCUGUCCGCCUGGUAUUUCGCCUGUCAAAUUGUUAUUUGACAAAUCUAGUAGCUGGAGGCUACUCAAACUGCCCAGACUCGUUGGAAUCACCCCUGUCAAGUUGUUCUGGCUUUCAGAACCUCCAGUUGUUUCAACUGCGAAAUCUCUGGUGGGAUUAUCCCUGUGAGAUUGUUUUCCCGAAGCCCUAAGUUUUGAAGACUUGUUAGAUUACAUACUGUAACAGGAAUUGACCCUGAUAGCCGGUUGGUUGAAAGAUGCAAUAUUAUCAAGUCUUUCAAUUUUCCGAUCUCCGAGGGAAUCGCAGCAGAGAAAUAAUUAUCGUAUAGAUAAAGGUGUGUCAGUUUUGUCAACAAUCCGAUUUCAUCUGGAAUAUUUCCAUGGAAGAUGUUCCCUUGAAGCUGCAAAGAAACCAAUUCAGUCCAAUUGGAGAUAAGGGAGGGCAAGAUUGGACCAGUAAAUGAGUUGAAAGCCAAACCCAAUUCUGAAAUCUUGUUCAGAUUUGACAGGGACAGAGGUAGAUCGCCGCUAAUGGAAUUUUUGGCCAAGGCCAAGUAGGUGAGGUUGGUACAAAGACUGAGUUCAGAAGGGAUCGAAGAGUUUAAGAAAUUCACCUCAAGAUUAAGAUACUGGAGUUCUCUGAGUUGGCCUAUCGAGGAUGGAAUUCUUCCUUGUAAGGAAUUUUGAAACAGGUCAAUACGCUGAAGGCGAGACAUCAAACCAAUAUCUUCAGGAAUUUGACCACUGAAAGAGUUUAGUUCUGAAUGGAGAUGUUUAAGCUUGGGAAAGCUUGUUGGAAGUCGCCCUUGGAAAUAAUUGUCGCUGAGAUUGAGAUACUCAAGCUUUCCCAGAUUGGUAAAUACUGCUUCUGGUAUUUGGCCAGUCAAGGCAUUCUCAGACAAGUCCAAGAACGUCAAGUUCCAACAUUUAGAUAUAAACGCUGGGAAUUUUGAUUCCAGAUUGUUUUGAGAAAGAUCAAGGUAUGUCAAUAAAGGCAUGACGGAAAAGUUAGAUCCAUCAGGGGUUCUUAUUAACUGGUUUUUUCCGAAAAGCACAUACCUUACCCGUUGGAGAUAGUUGAGCUGGUCGGGAAUUGUACCAUGGAGAUCAUUGUUGUAGAAGCUGAGAUACUCCAACUUCGUUAACUUACCUAUCUCCUCGGGUAUUUCUUGAGUGAAAUAGUUGUUGCCCAAGUCUAAGAUAGUGAGCCUGGAAAGCUUGCUAAUGGCAGAUGGUAUAGGGCCGGUGAAAUUAUUGCCAUUAAGGUUGAAGUGAGUGAGACUGAGAAAUGGGGUGAAGUUGAAUUCGGUUAGUGUGGCAGUGAUUUUGCGGUUGGAGAGGUCUAUUUUGGCAACUGUUUUGGUGUUUUGGUUGCAGACAAUGGCAGUCCAGUUGCAGAGGUUGUUGAGGUUUGUACGAGACCAUGAACUGAGGGACGAUGGUGGAGAAGCAAAGCUACUUUUCCAGCUUAUCAGAGCUUCUGCCUGACUUCUUGGGGGUGACGUGGCUUUCAAUGGAAGCAAUGAGAGCAAGAAAAUAGGAAGGAGAAGAAGAAGAGGCAAUUUCCGAACUGAUUUCAUGGUGUGUUGAUAGCUAGUUGCUGUUAUGUUUGAUAGCAUUUGAAGUUAUGUGUUUUAUCCAAGGCUCUAAGCUCUAUAUAUAUAUAGUUGCAGUUCUUUAUGCAGACCAGAUUUGUUUGUCUCAUUUUUUCGUAGUGCAUGUCCUCCCCCUCCCCCUCGGCUUAGCUUCACCGAACCUUCACAACGACGGAUAGGAUGGUGCAACCGCAGAACACGCUGACGGCCAAGCGAGCGAGUCUUCCCGUUCAUACUGCCGAGUUCUCUCUUUGUGUAAGUGCUUAAUGCACAAACCAAUUGUUUAUGUAACUGCCAUGAUUGUGCUUUAGCCUUUUCCAAUUGUUUCUCUUGUGCCAAUUAUAUCAUUUUUUUUUAUUCAUUAUCAUAUACUUUCUAUUGUCAAUGUCUAAUAUGUUAAUUUUCCAAUUCAAAAAAGAAAACUAACUGUAGUUUCUUUACUUUUCCGUUAGCUUCUCGAAGCCGACAUUAGCUUUUUUGUACAUCAACUCAGUGAAUCUAUCGGUGGAGAGUGAAUUCCAUAUCAAGGAAAUUGAUGUCUUGCAUAAUAGUUUAAACAAGAAGUUUAGCCCACGGGUUGCAGCAGAGAUUAACGAUAGAUCUUAAACAUCAUCUGUAUAGAUAUAUAAAAGCUAUUUACAUAAAAUAUAUAGUAAUUGUAAAUAGCUUCACCGUCUACACCAGUAUUAUAUACGCACAAAGAGUCGUUCAAAAUAUAACUACUAUUUUACAAAUGUAUCCCCGGAAUUGUGGUGUGCUUUGACCACUCACUGCUAUUCCAAAAUGAACAUUAAAGAGUCUAUAAUUCUCCAUUUCAGGUACUUUUUUAUUCUUCUUAAAUUUUAUUUUCUUAGAUAAAGAACAUCUGCAUUUGGGUUACUUUUAUAAAGCCAAAAAUUUGAGUGGCGAGAUGAUUAUGAAUUCAUAGACCAAAACUUUAAUAAGUCAUUGAUCAAGUUCACUUUUAGAGAACAUUUUGAUGUUGAUGGUCAAUUUUAGGAACCAUUUUGAUGUCGUUGAUCAAUUUUAAAGACCAUUUAUGAGAAAAAUGACUUAUGGGAUCUAUUUAUGUAUCACAUCAGCACUUAACAUAUUUUUUUAACAUAAUUAUGAUGGAAAGACCGCAUUAAUUUGCAACACCUAUUUUCAGGAACUACAUUGAUUGAUUUUCAAUUUCAGAAAUCAUCUCGAUGGUGAUGGUCAAUUUCAUAGGCCAUUUGUGAUAAAACCCCAUAAAAAUAUGCAUGACAACUUAGUACCAAAUUAUAUCAAUGUCAAUACUGCGAAUUGUUGCGUCAUGGAAGUUUAAUAAAACAAACAACGAAUUGCAGGAGAAUUUAACAGAAAAGAGGUGCAUAGUUUUAAACCACAAAAACCUUUCAAGUUGUAAACUGGACAAACCGUGGUUCCUUCAAUUUUUUUCGAAAACGGAAUAGCAGUCGAAGAACUACUCAAAAGAUAAAAGCCCUCAAUUUCUAUGGUUGGCAAACCGCAGUUUUUUACAAAAUACCAAGUUCCUGCUAUUCCAAAGUGCGAUUCACGUCCUCCGUUUUUCCUGCACCAAGAACAAGAGCACACAAAAGAAAGCAUUUACUCCACGAUUCCAAAAGGUCGGUACCAUGUAGAAUAACAGAAAUACAGUGUUACUGUAACGCAAAAAGAAAUAAGAUUGCCACUGGAUAAAAUAUUGAACACAAAAUUUUGCAAAAAUGAGUAAUAAAAGAAGAAAAAAGAAGGCACUCAUCACUGAUUUAGACAAAAAAGCAGUAAAUUAUAAGUUAUAACAAGGUUUGGAAAUACCAACUGAUAGGAGAGCCAUCUUUCAUUACAUUCUCCUAAAACUUGCUCCCCUACACAUCUGCAUUUAACUCAUCUAGCAUGCUUUCAAGCCUCUUAAUCCUAGCCGUAAUCUCUGAACCUCGCUUCUCAAACUCCAAAACUCGGCUCUCAAAUAAAGGGCUACUGCUGGCACUUUCUUUACCAACGACUCUUCCAUUGUCCUUAUCUGACUUGGUACAAACCGAACUUUCUCCUGCAAUUUUAGAUUCCAAACUCGGAACUCCACCCGAUAAUUUCUCACUGUCACUAUCUUCUAUAAUCACAAAAUUCUCGUACUUCUUAUUUCUUUUCAAAAGUUCUGGUAUUGUUAGCUUAUCAUCAUCAUCCAUAGGAUCUUCAGCUUCCAGAAUGUUGCAAUUCGGAGCAAACCCAGGAGUUACAAGGGGGUGGUUAACCAUCAAUGGCAACCGAUCAGUACCCUUUGCUUUCUUUUUCUGUGGACUAGCAGCUUCACUUGCAUCUUCAAGGCCAGACACUGAUUUCUUCCACCACUUGGUAUACUUUAUGCUAACAUCAGCCUCGAAAAGCCUACAUGGAAGAUAUAAUUUCACAUUCUUGAUUUCAUUGUUGUAAUACUUCCAGGCUUUAUCAGAAUUGUGAAAAAGUCGCGUAAUAGAACAUGGAAUGUCUUGAUCAAAUCCAAAUUGCAUAGCUACACGAUGCGGUAGGUAGUGCUCAAUGGUACCAAGACCAACUAGCUCACUUACGAUCAAACAUCUAAUGAAUGACAGUAAUUCAUCAUUUGAAUCAGAACCAGCCAAAACCCAUGUUUCCUUUUGUGGAUAGUAUUUAGGCAAAUGCAAGUUCUCAAUGACAUCCAAGGCGUAAGGGCGCCACUUGAAAUCUCCUCCGGCUGAAUCUAAAACCUUUCUCAAGUUUUCAACUUCCAUGCCAUUUAAUUUAUCCCAUCUAGCCAAUCUUGUCUCACCAAAAUUUAUAACAUUCGGCUUUGGCCUAAGUUCCAAGAAUCUUUCCCACGCCCAAACCUGAAGUAAAUGGAAUGGUGACUUAAGGGUGACUUGUAAAUCAGCACCUCCUAUUUCCAAUUGGUUUGAAGCUACAAUUUUCGUUUUCAACAAACCCAAAUCUUUGUAAAUGCUAGCAAGAACAGCGGGUGCAAGAGCGAUUUUAAUCCCCCUAGCUAAAUGAAUUGCUAUGGAGAAUACAGGUCUAUGUGUUAUAUCAUUAUGGUUAAAAACAUACCUCGACAACCAAUACACAAGAAAUGCUUCAUGCUCAAAUUUGUGCCCGCUCUUAAUGAACUUCUUCAACCACAAGCUUGUGGUAGACUUGUUAGCCGAACUCCUGUAAAAUUCCUUUCUCUCUUGAAGUAGCUCCUCUUCAAUUUCUUUAAGUUGUGUGGUUUCGAGAGGGCUUAAAACAGAGUCCCCCAAAACCGAGAAACUGCCUAAAACCAUGACAUCCUCCAAUGUGAUUGUUGUUUCACCCCAUGGAAAAAUAAACGUAUUGGUUUCGGGACACCAUUUCUCUGCAAGCCCGUAUACCAAACUGUUUUGCCUUCGUAUUUGGUACGUUGAAUUAAGGAUUGCUUCAUAAAUACCAACCGCCUUCCAUGAAGAUUGGUGCACAGAAGCCAUUUGAUCAACCCAGGAUUUCCAAUCUUUUGUUCCUUGUUUCCAUCCGUGGAACUCAACUUGCAAAGGCCAUUUCUUUGGCUCGAAACGGGAAGGGAUGGAGGAGAAACUGUGAGGGAGCUCAAAAGGAAGUUCAAUGGUGGAAAUUGGCAAAGUGGGUUUUAGAAAGUAGGCUUUUUUAAGAAAGGGGUUUCCGCCGGAUGGCGGAACCAUCAACUCCUCCCUCUCUUCAACCAUUGAUUCCAGUGGGUUCUCCAUCUCACCAAAGCUCAAGACCUCUCUAUCCCUCUCGUUUUUUUGUUCUUUUCAGUUUUAUGGGUUUGAAUAAAACCUCAGCUCAAGCACAAAAGAAGUGUGGAAGGGGGUUCGAUUGAAUAAUACGAAAAAUGGUUUAUAUGAGCGCGAGCGUCCAAUCGUAUGCCGUUUAGAGCGCCCUUGCGGCUUCUACGCAAAACAAAAACAACAUGAAACACGGCUUCAUCAUUCAUUCGAAUCACGUUGGUCCUUUUUUCCCCUUUUUUUUUAUUGAGAAUUCCAAAAGUUAUAUCACAGAUUCACAAAUACAUGAAUUUAAAUUAAGUGCACACUUAUUUACCAUAUUUUCUCAUCAUUUUAGGAUAAUGGUAGAGAGACUAAAUUUGAAGACAAAAUUUGUAAAGGAAGUGAUGUGUCAACAAUAGAAAUAAACACAUUUAUCAACGCUUAAGUAAUAAAUCAAUCAUUAAAUUCUAUAUCCUUUGGUUUUCAAAAUUUUGUCUACAAAUUUAAUCUUUCUAAGAGCAUCUUCAAAAAGAAAUGUCUAAAUCAGCAAUAGUGGUAAUAAAAGAAAUCAGUAAUGUUUUCUAACUGAGAACCCAAAUCUGAUGUGGCAUGACAUGGAAAGACAUCUCUUCUCCUUGCUGCCAAAUUUGACAGGAGCAUUUUUGUCACAACCAUUUAAUGUGGUGUAUGCUCACUAUCCUAAGUAAAGGAUGGAAGAUUCCCUAGGUAAAGUGGAGAAUGGGUCAACAGGUUGGCCAGUAAAAACUUCUCCAUCUAGAGCUAGUCUGAAAUUUGUGACGCAAUUUUGAGCUCCAGAUAUAUCAUCAGGGGAAAACAACAAGAAUGUGGUUAUUGGGUUGUGAAGAAUGUUGAGGUCCCACGGUAAAACUAAUCGGCAAUAUGAAAAAUAGCCGAACUACUUAUAAGCAUAUGCAAGAUCCCUCUCAUUAUUAAUGUGGAAUCUUAUUCUCAACAAGUCCCCUUACCUAUGUUGAACAUGUAGCUUUCCUGUCGUUGUGGCUACGAAGGUUUGUUUUUGCUUCUCUUCCUGAGGAUUGCAUUGGUAAGAAUGUUUUUCCAAUUGCAAGCAUGUUUGUCACAGGGGAAGAGGGAUGCUCUUGCGCCCGCCGUCCUUUCAAGUCUUUACAGAGACUUAGCUUAAGAAGCAAGCUCUUUCUUGUGGGGAGGAGGUUGUGGUUACUGUUCCGUUUCAGUUCUUGCACUUGUGGACUUCGGAGAGGUUUCAACCGCUGAUAGAGAGUCCCCCGAAAGCUCUUAAACCUCGCAACGCGAGCCUAGGGCCACCCGGUGGCACAAAGUAACUUCUAAAUCAAUUAAUCUGCCUCUUGUGAGAACUGUUUUUAUUAACAAAGCCUGAAGGGUCUCUCCAGGAUCCUAUGGGGAUUUGAUGACCAUGAACGCAAACAACAAAAAAAGGUGCUCUGGAAUAAGUAAAGAAAACAAAGCCUGAUGACUGCAUGGAGAGUGCUACGUAUCAAACUCAGAGAGUUGGAUUAUUAACGAGGGUUGCGAAUAUGGAGAAACUUCUGGGGGUAAACCCAAAAGAGAAACAAAAUCCUUAGGCCACAACUCUUCAUUAUUAUUAAAUUUAAGGGUAAAAGACUGUUUACUACCCUAAUGUUUCGUGGUUUUCAACAUUUAGUACAUCAAGUUUUUUUCGUCUCAGAGUCAUACCUAAAGUGUAAAUUUUGGGACAGUCUCAUACAUCCGUUAGUCAAACUGUUAAGUUUUUCGUUAACUGUGACGUAGCGCACUGAGUGGGCGCCACGUGUCAUCCACGUUUUUUUUCUUUUUUUCUUUUUUCUUCUUCUUCUUCCUUCUUCUUCUUCUUCCUCCGACUGCAACUUUCUGCUUUUUUUUUUUUUUUUUUUUUUGCUUCUUCCUUCCUUCCUCCUUCAUUUCCCUUUCUUCCCCUUCUUCCUUCUUCUUCCUUCUUCUUCCUCCGAAAUUUGGGGAAUGUUUUUUUUUUUUCUUUCUUCUUCUUCUUCAUCUUCUUCCUCAAAAAAAAAAAAAAAAAAAAACACUUUCAUCUUCCCCCAAAUUCGGAGGAAGAAGAAGAAGAACGAAGAAGAAGAACGAAGAAGGAGAAGAAGGGGAAGGAAGAAGGAGGAAGAAAAAAAAAAUUUGAAUCUGGGCAGAUUCGGAGGAAGAAGAAGAAGAAGAAGAAGAAGAAGAAGGAGGAAGAAGAAGAAAGAAAGAAAAAGAAAAAAAAAACAAACUUCCCCAGAUUUCGGAGGAAGAAGAAGAAGGAGAAGGAGAAGGAAGAAGAAGGAAGAAGGGGAAGGAAGAAGGAGGAAGAAGAAGAAAGAAAAAAAAAAAAAAAAACAUUCCCCAAAUUUCGGAGGAAGAAGAAGGAAGAAGAAGGAAGAAGGGGAAGAAAGGGAAAGGAAGGAGGAAGGAAGGAAGAAGCAAAAGGAAGAAGCAAAAAAAAAAAAAAAAAAAAAAAAAAAAAGCAGAAAGUUGCAGUCGGAGGAAGAAGAAGAAGAAAAAAGAAAAAAAAAAAAAAACGUGGAUGACACAUAGCGCCCACUCAGUGCGCCACGUCACAGUUAACGAAAAACUUAACAGUUUGACUAACGGAUGUAUGAGACUGUCCCAAAAUUUACACUUUAGGUAUGACUCUGAGACGAAAAAAACAUGAUGUACUAAAUAUUGAAAACCACGAAAUAUGAGGGUAGUAAACAGUCUUUUACCCUAAAUUUAAACUAUGACAGUCGAAACAGGGUUGUUUGAUAUAAAUUGUUGGCAAAGACUGUUCUAUAAUCCAGGAUCGAUUUUAGAUAUAACAGAACUGAAAUGUUUACUGAUUUGCCGUUUUGAUCCUCUCCUUUUGAUUUCACCCUUGGGUUGUUUUAUUUAUUUUUAAUCUUGUCCAAUAGAAGCUUCAUUGGAUCUAGAAACUUCGGUAAGGAGCUCUCACACCAGGCGGGAUUAGCGUCGGAUCAGGUGAGACCAAAUUCAGGAGAGUCUCAUGCUUUUGUGAGAAGCACCCUAGAAAUGACGUGAUCUGACACCCCUAAACCAAGUUUUUUUCCCUACUCAAUGGCAUUUGUGUCAUUCGAAUUGCACAUAUGAUAGACUUCAUUCAUGUUUCCGACUUCAAAUUCCCUAUCAGCACAUAAGGACAUUUCAUUCUAAAUUAUUCUAAUUCACAGAGAGGGGACUCAAACUUGGUGUAAGGUGGGCGGCAAACUGGCUGGCCUAACCCACGUAUGCAAAAUGAAGUUGUUUUUCUACUACAAAUUGCAUAAUCUCUUUACAUCCCCAGAAAAUUGCUGGGAAGAUAAAUGUGGAUUUGGUUGGAAAUUCACUGUGGGAUUUUUUCCAAUUAAAGGAAAGGUUAACUUUUAGAGGUCGCACUUGGUGCGAUGGCAAGUGCCUUCGCCCAUAAGCGGUAGGUCUCGGGUUCGAGACUUGGGAGCAGCCUCUCCAUAAAUGAGGGUAAGGUUAGCCGACAUUCACCUCUCCCAGACCCUGCAUAAAGCGGGAGCCUUGUGCACUGGGUACGACCUUUAAAGGAAAGGUUAACUUUUGGUAAUGGAAAUAAUAGGAGGUUGUUUCUCUUAACACAAAUAGAAGAACAAAUUAAUGUUGAAAAAACAAAACCCAUUUUUGGUAUGGUCAAAGAAAAUAGAAUGCCCGGCUGUCCCUCUAUAUUUAGCAAACUUGACCUUGUCUGUUUUGGCUGUCCGAACUCAAUGGUUUGGAUAGAGAGAGCAAGCAAAAGAAACAAUGUGCGGGAUCAAGCUCUUGGUUCUUGAAGGACCAGAAACUAGCCUUCUGGUUUUUCCAGAGCCGAGGGUGUUUUUGUAACGUAUCAGAUCGAUAUCCCUCAUUUGUCUAACCAAUUUCUCAGGCUUGUUUCGUCUGUACUUCUUGGUUUCUUGGAUCGAGUCGCGUACCAAAGUUUUGAAAUUCACUUGGUAUGUUAUGAGUGGUUUUUUCGAGGAAUCCAUGCAAGAUUUGGGAUGACAAUUUGAAGGUGGUUGAUCGGAGUAGAGUUGACGAGGCAAAAGGAAAAGAUGAAUUGCUUCCAAUGUUGCAUGUCAGAAGAGAAAAUCACCAGGAAGUCGUUAAAAAAGAGUAUCAAGGAAUACCAUGACACCAAAACUUUAGCCUCUUUUGCUAACAUUUCGUUCAAAACAGGUAAAUUCUUCUCUUGCCGUAUAUCUUCCCUAAAAAUCAAAUGACACCAUUACAUCAAAAGACAGACAUACAUACAUAUAAUAUACAUGAUUACUCUCUAAUAGGGAAUGGAUCUGCGACGAGGACUUACUUUCCAAUCGUUAAAUCAUGUUAGGGAUUAUAUCAUGCAUUCGUAUAUCAAAGAUUUAUGACGUCUUUCAACACUUUGGUCCAUCAAUCAUGUAUUCAUAUUCAAGGGCUGCAAUUUAUCAGUUUUUUUUCUUUACAUUUAUACAUAUACAUACAUAUAUUUAUCUUUAUGUGAUGUGGAAGAUUUUACAUGAAAUAUCCCCAAUUUAUUUGCCUUUGGUUUGAUGGAGAUUUGUCCCUUUGAAGGCUAAGAUUGGUUUUACCGUAUAAAAAUCGACCUUCUCUCCUUGUUAUAUUUAUCACAAAUUGUCCAAUCUUCUGAAAUUGAAAGUUGGCUGCAGAUCCUAAUAUAUAAUUACUAGUAAUACUUGGCAGUGUGGAACAGCUAGUUCAAACUGUUGGCCUCUAAGUUUGAGAAUUUUAACCUGCAGACAGCAGCAGGAGGAAGUACAUAGCGGAAGAGAUAGCAAAGGUUGGCAAAGGAAAUAUUUCGGCUCAGAUUUUUGCUUUCCGGGAACUUUGUGUUGCAACUAACAACUUCCAUCCAGACAAAUUGAUAGGCGAAGGCGGUUUUGGGAGGGUUUACAAAGGGAAACUUGAUGGCACAGAACAAGUACUAUUUCCAUCCCUCUCUCGUCAUUCCAUACUUUUGUUUUUCCCCUUAAUAUACAAUAAUUUAGUUGAAUCAUAACCCCUCGUGUUCGCUCGUUUCAGGUUGUUGCUGUUAAGCAACUAGACAGGAAUGGAUUCCAAGGAAACAGAGAGUUCCUUGUAGAAGUUUUGAUAUUAAGUCUUCUUCACCAUCCCUACCUCGUCAAUUUGGUUGGGUAUUGCGCGGACGGCGAUCAGAGGAUUUUGGUGUAUGAGUACAUGGCGAAUGGAUCCCUAGAGGACCAUCUUCUUGGUAAGCACCAAUUUACUUAUUUGCAUUUGCACUUUCCAGGCACUUAGUAUACAUCAGUAACAUUUCUUAACACUUGUUUUCUGAUCAACAACAAAACUUUGGAUCUCAGAUUUAGCUCCAGGAAAAAAGCCCUUGGCUUGGAAUACUAGGAUGAAAAUUGCAGCAGGGGCAGCAAAAGGACUUGAAUACUUGCACGAACAAGCGAAUCCCCCUGUGAUAUACCGGGAUUUCAAAGCAUCCAACAUACUUUUGGAUGAGAACUUCAAUCCAAAACUCUCUGAUUUUGGUCUUGCAAAGUUAGGUCCAACUGGGGGUAAGACUCAUGUAUCCACCAGGGUGAUGGGGACCUAUGGCUAUUGUGCACCUGAAUAUGCACUCACAGGGCAGUUGACAACGAAAUCCGACAUUUACAGCUUUGGAGUUGUGUUUUUGGAGAUAAUCACAGGACGGAGAGUCAUAGACAAUAACAGACCAACUGAGGAGCAGAAUUUAGUUACUUGGGUAUGUCCAUAAUUUUAUAACUUCUCAAGCUAUUUCGGCAAAACUCUUUGAAGUCCUUCUAUAAUGGCCAAUUUCCCUCAAAUUAACAACACGAUUUUUUGCAGGCACAACCAUUAUUUAAAGACAGAAGGAAGUUUACAUUAAUGGUAGAUCCAUUGCUAGAAGGGAAGUACCAUAUCAAGGGUCUUUACCAAGCUCUUGCUGUUGCAGCAAUGUGUCUCCAAGAAGAGGCUGCUACACGACCGCUGAUCAGUGACGUUGUAACGGCGUUAGAGUAUUUAGCCGUAGAUGGUGAAGCAGAUGAUACGAAUGGUGAUGGAAAUGUCUGACACUACUGAUGGUGCUAGUGUUGAGGGUAAGGAAGGUACAUGAUGAGAAAAUGAGCCUAUGGAUUCUAAUGUUUCAUGAAAUCGAAAUGUGAUCAUAUCCUGUUGUGUUGUAGCUAGCUAGGCUGCUCUGUAAAAUACCAACUCCGUGCCAUUACCCAAAAAUCACUUCUCUUAUCCACUUUUGGUGUUAGCAUGCUGGUGAGAUUUUUGGUGAUCAUUCUUUGAUUAGAAGUUUGAACAUAAAAGAAUUGGGGAAGGGUGAGGCACUUUAACUAGGCAGGCUCAAAUGGCCCAAAAAGAGAACAAGCUUACCCCAAUUCAAAUGGGAGCGAGGUUCAAACCAGGAUGCAUGGGGUGGAAACAUAGUUCUAAACAACUGACCUAACUCACAUAUGAAUUUAAUUCUUGUACAAACUUAUGCAAAGAUAGUAUGAUUGUUUAGUUGGUUUCAACAACUCUUUCAGUUUGUGCUAAUUGUUGUACCAAUGUCAAAUUGCAGCCAUCAUUACUCUUCAAUAUAAAGUAUAAAUAUUUAGGUGUGUUUGAUUCAUAGUGUGCAUGAAGGAUUAAAGGAAUGUAGGAGGGUGAGACACUUAUCCGUAUUGAGAAUUUGAUAUGGCAAUAUUUGGGCUCAACCCGUGCCUGUGCCCACCCCUAUGUCCAAUAAACUCAUGUAUUUUGAUCCGGAUUUGGAUCCUCUCCUGAGCUAAUGGAGAGGAUCCUCCUGACCAAGUGUUAUGGGCCGUUGGAUUUUCAUCCAACGGCUACAAACAGGUGGGUCCUUUUAAAAUUAUAAUAAUUAUAGCCGUUUGAUGAAAAUCCAACGGCCCAUAACACUUGGUCAGGAGGAUCCUCUCCGUUAGCUCAGUAGAGGAUCCAAAUCAUUUUGAUCCUAUAAUUAACAAUUCACUAUAGUAAUAUAAAUACAAUUAUUUGUUUAAUUAUUAUUCAUAUAAUAUUGUUAGUACUAUCAUAGGUGUGUGACCUCUUAAGUUUUAACUAAGACUAAGACUGGAAGUGAAAUUAACUAUAAGUUAAUUUAAUUCCACAAGUCAUGAGUGACACCUAACAAAAUGUCAUGACAACCUGAAUUAGAUAAAAGUAUUCAUGACUAAUCAUGAUCCUUUUUCAAAACUUGAUUGUAGUUACUAUGCAAUUCGGUUCUUUUUUAUCAACAUUAUCUCGAUUAAAUGAUAUGGAAUAAUGUCAAAUCACAAGUGAAUAUUUUUAAUCACCAUGAGGUAUCUCAUGUUGAGGGUUCUUCUUAGAACAAUUAUAAUAAGGUGAUAGAUUUCUUGUUGCCCAUUCAUAUGUCUCCAUACUUAUACAUAUGGACCCAAACAGUACACAAAACCUUAAGCUUAAGAACUAUUUGCAUACUACAACCUUUUAAUGAUUGGUCAUAAAAUAAUUGAGGAAGGGUGAGGCACUUUGAAUAGGUAAGCCCAAAUGGCCCAAAAAGAGAACUAGGGUGCAUGUGUGCAUUUAUUUUUGUGUAGAUUGAUUUAUAGACAAGGUUCUAAAAGAUGUUAUGUCACAGCCCGUUCCGAAAUACUUUUAUCGAAUGUGUGAAAAGACUAUAAUGCCCUUGGGCGUUGAGAUGAGUCGUAUGUGACAUGAUUUUAGAAGUGGACCAAUAUAAUUAUUUUCCUAAGUUUUUGGGGCCAAUGAGAACUAAACCUUGGUUAGUUGUGAUUGGUGUGUAGAUUGGACCACACACACACAUCCACAUUACUUUAUCUCUCUCUUCCCUCCCGUGUUCUCUCUCUAUCUCUCGGACUCUCUCUCUCUCUCUUCUUCUUGUAUGGACAAACACCAAGGACCUCUCAAACCUCACUGAUCGAGGAAGAAAAUGAUACCAUUGUGUUCGUGAAGCCCAGACGAGUCGAUUGAUACCCAUUUCAGGUAAGGAUACAUUCGAAAACCCUAGUUUUUCAUAACCCCUUAUUUGUGCAUUGUUCAUGCACACGUAAUUAUGGAUGUUUUUGAGAGUUUGAAGCUUGUAGGAAGCUUAGUGAGGUCCCAAGGAAGCUCGAAGUGCUUCGUUUGAAGGUUUUGGACGUCGGGAUCGUGUGGACGAAGUUUGGCCGAUUUUCUUGGAAUUCUCCGGUGAGAUCCCGUGACUUUUAGAGCUUUAAAUUAGUAUGAUCGUGUUCUACAAGUUAAGAGCUUCAUUUUGGUAUAAAAUACGUGAAAAAUGGUGCAAAAACGAGUGAGAAAUGGGCAGUUGUAGGUCUGCCCAAAAUACGACGCCGGUGACACAGUUCUGGCAUUUGGAGGUUGAAGACAAUGCGCGUGGGCCGCGCGUGAGGCCGUCCCCUCCCCGGCGCGUGAGCCACCUAAAAAUUUAUCAAAAAAUAUCACGAUGUUUGUGAGGUUGUAUAGGUCACGUUGGUAUAUUUAAACACCAAAAUUGAGCAAUGUAUAAGAAGUUAUUAGCUAGUUUUGCUUAUGUGCUUUAAAAUAACAUUUUUAUAGUUAAUUUGCAUAUAGGUGAGAUUUAUCCCGUGGACAAGCGUAUCCACUGGCGACUCGGGGCCUACGACCCUUCGACAUACCAAUGAGUGGGUUUUUGUUUUCAGUAUAUACUUAUAUACUUGAUAUAUUUCCCAGAAAUGCAUUUUUAGGUAAGUAUGCUUUGAAAUAAUAUGUCAAAUGCUUUUAUAUUCUGAAUAUGCAUUUCAUGAUUGCAUAUAUAUAUAUAUAUAUAAAUGUGGUGUUGUGGAGGCACAGGUAAGUCCAGGUAAGUUAUGUUUGAUUAUGUGAAUCAUCGAUGAUGUAAUAUGUGAUUGAAUAAUGUUGAGCUCAAAAACUGCACCUAGGGUGAUUGUGAUUUAGCCAGAGUUACGAAGUACAUGCCUGUUUAAUUACGUCACCUCUCGCACUAUAUGCUCAAAUUGGAUCCAACUUAAGUGCACAGUCUUGUUGUAUAUACCUUAUUCAUGGUUCCGACUCGUAGGUGACUAGCGAUUUAUCGCCCGGCUAUUAUGAGAAAAUAGAAUUGAGCAUAAUUAUUUUUCACCCAAUUUUGUCGUACAUACCCUUUUCAGUGGUUCCGACUUAUGUGCAGUAUAUUGUCGUAUAGGUCAUAGUAAUGACUCCGGCUAGAUUGAGUUUGAGCUAUGAAUUCAGCCGUACAAACUAUCACAGGAGUUCCGGCUAACAUAUCAUAUUUCUAUGAACUUAUUCUCACUUGCAUUGCUUACUCUGUCAUAUCUUGGCAUGGCAUAUAUAUGCUUAUGAUUAUGUGAAGUAUGAUUUGAAUUGAUAUAUUUUCAUAUUCAAUUAUGUAUAUGCUUAUAUUCUGAUUCUGGGAAAAUAUUAUACAUGUUUUACAGCGAGAGGUUAGUAUAUUGAUAAAUGAAAUGAUUUUGUAAAACUUUUGUUUUGCCCACUCACGUUUUCUGUUUUGUGCCCCUCCAGGUUCUAAGUAAGCUUGUUGUUGGUGGCUCGAGACCGUCGGCUGUUCUGACUUAUCUAAAUAAUAGUAGGACAUUCCUGGUACUGUAUAACUAGUACUUGUCCUACUGGACUGCACCUAGACUUUAUGCUAUGAUUAGGAGUGUUUACUAUUGUAACUAACUCCUAUCACUUUCUGUUUAGUAGUGCACUCUAGUAAUGUGGUUUGUUAAUUAUUCGUAUAUUUGUUAUCUUUAUUGCUUUCGCACUGUGCACAUGGUUACGUCACUCUCACGUGACGGCCAACAUGCCUUGACCUCGGUCGGGGUGUGUCAUGUUAAGCGCUAGUUGGGCGGUGGGCUAGAGCCUAGCGCUUAUUGGCUAGGUGGGGCCUAUACUACUAGGUAGAUUUAAGUACAUUUAUUAUAUAUUUGUAUAGAUAAAUGUCUAUUUAUACUUACAAAAAUGCAUAAUUGUAUUAGGGUACACAAAAUAAAAUGACAUAUAGAUUAAAGUGUUAUAACAUAUUGGAAAUAUGGGGAACAAGCAAAUAAUGAGUGUUCAUUUAAGUAUUCAACAAGUCUCUUACAAUUUAUUUAACAAAAACAAAAUCUAAAAUGAAAGUUAACGAUUUUCUGUCUAAAUGAGAGUUGCGACUUAGGCGAGUGCCUAGGCAUGUUUAGGCGGGCUAAGUAGACACCUAGGCAAACUAGAUGAACGUUGAAUGGGGUUUAAACACCCUUUCUUAAUUUUCAAACGCUUAGGGGAUUACUCGAAAAGGUGGCCAACCAACUAACGCCUAAGUGGGGCUUAGGUGGAGAUUUUUAGAACAGCAUGCAUAAAUGGCAUGAUUUCAUUCAUUUGGUUUCAAGAUUAUUUUCAGUUGUGUGCCAAUUGUUGUACCAAUGUCAAAUUCCAUGCAUUUUUAUUCUUCAAUAUUAAAAAAAAUAUGAUUUCUACACACUUAUUUUCUCUUUCUAUCAUUCUUAGUUAUUUUUGUUUUUUAUUUUCAUUUACUUUAUUUAAAUUGAAUGCGAGAAAUAAACAGGGAUACAUGAAAAGAAGAUAGUGUAUGAAAAUUUUUAUAAUUAAAAAAAUUGAUAUGAACUUUGUUGAUCGGGAAAAUGAAAAAGGCACGAAUUAUUAUAAGGUUUGUGUGUUUGUAGUAGUAAAGUUCUGUUCAAAUAAAAAAAGGUGCUUUCAAAUGGAUGCAGCAGGUACUGUUUGUUUGUAGUAGUAAAGUUCUGUGGCAGCGAAACCAUGUUUUUUGCCGCUUGCUGACUUUUACAGUGCCAGGAUUUGCCAAAGAGCAGUAGGGUUUUGAAGAUCGCGAAAAAGGCACUAGGGUUUUGCACUUUUUUUCCCUUGCCAUUUAAGAAAGAAUAACGGGAAGACUACAAUUUUAAACAAAUUUUACAAAUUAAAUGCUAUAUCACCAAUAGAAAAUAAGCAUGUUAAUCUACGCUUAAGUAACAAUGCAAUUAUCAACAACCACAUCAUUUAGUUUGUCGAUUUGAUUUAAAAAAUUUGAUCUCCAAUUUUAAUAAAUGAUUCAAAUGUCUGAACUUAAACAUGCAUGAAAACACUAAUCCUAGGAAAAUUCUAGCCCUAACCCUGAGAACAACUCCAACAGUUGGGGUUAAAAUUUAGGUUUUAACUAAAAAACAGUUUUCCUCCUCCAAUGGUUUUGGCUUAAAUUUAGUUCGAGAUUAUUAAAGAAUAAAUUUAAACUAAUUUUUCUUUUCGGUAAAAUUUUAAAAAAUCAAAUGUAUGUAGAUUGCCCAAGUUUAUUUAAACACUUUAACCUAAAAAUAUUUAAAUUCUGAUAAAUAAUGAGAAAUUACUAAACAUACCCGAUGAAAAUAUUUUAGAUAUUUUUUUAUUGUUAAAUUUGUCUAUAUUCGAUCACAGUCAUUGGAUUUAAUAUACUUGUAAAUUAGAUUUAAAAAAAAAAAGAAUUUGAAUAUGGACUAUAGGAUCAACCAACGACCCAUUAUUUCCAGUCAUUGGAUCACAAAAAAGAAAAGAAAAAAAAAACUGUUUGCUCGUGCAAGUGACCGACAUGUGUCAACCUGCUGGGCCCUUACGCUGACUACCCUGUCGCCUGUGUCGCGUGGAAGAGCAUUGGGCACGUUAGUGCACCGAGACUGGACUUGGGUCCGGCAUGUCCACGCGCAGUGGUGAGCUAGAAAAAUGGUUUGGCCCUUUUUUUGGGCUAAAUCUCCCCAAAUUUUAAGUUAUCUUAAAACUUGUUUUAGGACCAAUGGUUGGAGACAAUUUAGAUGGAUUUAAAACCUAAUUUUAGAUUUUAACCCAACAAUUGAAAAUGGUCAAACUUUAUAAAGUGACCAAUAAUGAAUCCCCAAGUCACCAGUAAUGAAAACAUAAUGCUUAUUAUUAUUUUUUUAAUAUUUAGCAAGUAAAUAGUUGUUAUUUAAAUGUAAAUAAUGACUGUUCAUUUUAUUGUAAUAGAGCCUUCAUUUUUUAAGCUUCUCAUUAUCCGUAAAUGUCUCACUGCCCUUAACACUUUUUUUUAGUACUCCUUGAACCUACUGAUUUACAAGUUUGCAACCACCCUCACUGAAGACUUUCUAUAUAUUUGCCUCCAUCCAAUCAAACGCUAGGCUCUCAGCAACCAAUGGAGCUCGCCUCUUACGAGAUUAGGCCUAUUCCCUUGGCGUAGGAGGACCAAAAAAAAAAAAGAUGAAUUUUUUGCUACUCAGUUUAACUUUUUAUCUCUAGCAACACUUUAUAUUUUAACAAAUUUUGAAUAAUUUUUUAUUAACACUUUAAACCCAACCCACUCAUUUUUUAAAACGGAAAGGGAUCAUUUCCGAAUCCCUUCCACCUAAUCCUCCUCAUCAAACAAUCUGAGCCUUGAAAUUUGAUUAAAUGACUAAAGUUAUUAUAACUUUUAAGGUUUUUAGCCGUUAGAUCAAUUUUCAAGGAUUCAGAUUGUUUGAUGAGGAGGAUUAGGUGGAAGGGAUCCGAAAAUGAUCAAUUUCCUUCUAAAACAACAUUCUCUCUCUUCCUAUUCUCCUUGAUCAAGGGUCCACUCUUAAGUUUGAUUAUUUUUUAAUAUUUAGGAAGUGAAUAAUUGCUCUCUAAAUUUAAAGAGUGACUAUUUAUUUUCAAUAUUGAUUAUUUUAUAACAUCUGUUGUGAUGAAUUUUUUGAAUUUAGCUCGUCAAAAUAGAAUUUUAAUUGUUUCACAUCAUCUCUUGAAAAUACGACUUUCGGAUAGUAGAGUUUGUUUGUGUUCGUUAAACAUAGUCUAACCAAACAAAUUAGCAAUUAUUCAUGAUUCGAUUAUUGGCCAAGUUUCAUCAUCAGUGACAAGGUACAGCAAUUAGCUUUGGUGGCCACAAAGUACUUUUAAUAUUUUAGAAUAUAAGUUGGCCCGAGUACUCGUCAUUAUAAUUAAAUUAAUUUAUAUAUGAAAUUAGGAGAGAACGUUAAUCCCUAAUCAUCGCAGUCACUUCAAAAUUACAGUUCUAUCCUCUUUUACUCUUCAUCAGUUGUCAAGAAAAAUAAAAGAAAUUUGUUAAUGAUUAUUUAUAUAAUUCGUAAAAUUACGAUGUUCACCUUUUUAACUCUAGUGUUAGUGGACUCAGAAAUCUUUUUUCACCUCCUAUGUUUUUUUUUUCUGGACAUGAAAUUAAAAAAAUUAAUGAAAAUAACAAAUAAAAAUAAGGAAACACAAGAUACAUCUCAUCGAACUCAAUUAAUUUUGAAUCAUUUUAAAAGGGACAAAAGUUCAAACCUCAACAAACCUAAACCCGAAAUAAGUAAAUUAAAAUUUUUAAAAUUUCAACCGUGUCCUAAUAGACUUGUCAAGAACUAUACCAUAUGUUAACAUCUAAUUCGGGUGCAAGAGGCGAACACACUGACAUUAGUUGGCCUAACCGUGUGUCUAAGGAAAAGAAGAAAAUCCAAUAAAUCACAUGUUUAGAAUUAGAGGACUACAAAAGUGGCACAUCUGAAAAACUCCAAACCUCUUAGGCCUAAAAUCGUAAAUUCAGUGUAUUCUUUUCAAAUUUUAAUAUUAAGAAAUUGCAGAGACAAUUAUUUGCCAGCCGUAUAUAAUAUUAUUCUAAAUAUUUGGCUUUCUUCCUAAAUUUUCCGAGGCAGAAAACCCCAGGGUUUAGAGAGCCUCUGCAGUCUUCACCUCCUUCAAUCUCUCUCUCUCUCUCUCUCCCCCCCCCCCCCCCCUCCUCAUGGGCAUGCUCUGCUCUUCUGCUUCGAACUCAGACCCACUAGUCCCAGACCUCAAAUAACUCCCCAACAAACCCCACCUAAUUUACAGGUUUGCCACGCAAAGCUUAGCAAGACGGCCGCUUCUAUAAGCCACAGUUGGAGCAGUAAGCUGGGGAAAGUUGCUCUUUCCAACUUCAUGGCUUUGGGGUUCUCCUCCAUCCAGACCAGCCAUUUAAGACCAUCUUGCCCUUCUUAUUUCUCCUUAUUCCGCUCCUGUCCCCGGUCGUCCAGGUCCCUGUGGACUAGUCCCAGGUGAAAUUCAAUCUUCACUCAAAUUUCACUACUUUCUGUUCUAGCAUUUUCUAUUUGGGUUUUUUGAAUAUUCCCCCAUACGCAUGUGAUUUUUUUUUAAUUUUUUUUGGGUUUUUUUUAAGUAUAUAUUUUUUGUUAUUUUCCAUAUUAAUGUUAGAAAAGGCUUUGGGUUCUUUGUUUAUGGUUUUGGAUUGAACAAAUGGUUGUGAAGUUAUAUGAAUGUUUGGUUUGUAGUUAAACUUCAAUUACUUGGUGGAACUAUGGGAGAAUUUUAUUUAUUUCAUUUUAAUUUUACUGUUUCUGAACUAAAUUGUUGGGAACCAUGUAGUAUUACUUGCAUUUAUUGUGAAUUGGAGGAGGAAUUUGAGUAGGAAGUGGGGAAACUCAAAUGCUGAUUGUUUAUGGGUCGGUGUUGUCUUUGGGAUUUUGAUGUUAGUUGUUAAUGUAAAAGUAUAGUUCAAUUCCACAACUCAUUGGAAUGCCCGGUUGCUUUUCAAGUUUUCCUAUAUGUUUUGUGCUUCCUUUGUAUACUUGGAAUGCAGGAAGAAAUUGAUAUACUGUCUGAUUAUUCUUUUGCUGCCUGUGAUGUUGGAAUUGAUAACAUUGCAGACCACAGGCUUAUGCGGCCCAGGCUGAUGUUGGGAUUUCAGGUAAUCCGACAAUCCCUUUCAACCCAGUUCACUAUAAUCCCGAAAGAAAAUCCAACGAUAAUAGAAAAGCCUGGAAACACGAGGCUUGGGCAUUGAGAAAGGAAAAGGUGAAGGAAAAUCCUUAUGGAAGUAACAUAUCCUGUAGAGUAAAUAUUGAAACAUAUACGCCAGAAAGGAAUGAGGGUUCCCUACAUUUGGAUGAUAAGUUGGAUGUAAAGUCUGAAGCCUCAUUUUACAAAACAUCGGCAAUUGAUGAUCAAAUCAGUGAAAGUUUUGCAAACAUACAUGAGGCUGAGGCUUCUCCUGAGGUACAAUCGGGUAAAGCACAUGGUGAAGGAAAUAAUGUUGACAAGGUGAGUGGUUAUGGAGGGAUUGACAAGAUUAAAGUGGACAAGGUGAAUGGUUACAGACGGGGCAGUCAGAAUGUGUCGGCUUAUGGAGCGAUUGACAAGAUUAAGGUGAACAAGGUGAAUGGUCAUGGACGGGACCAUCAGAAUGUGUCCGCUUAUGGAGGAGUUGAUAAGAUAAAGUGGACAAGGUGAAUGGUUAUGGACAGGACCGUCAGAAUGUGUCAGCUUCUGGAGGGAUUGACAAUAUUAAAGUGAAGAAGGUGAAUGGUCAUGCAGAUGCUGCUCAUGUGAUUCAAAGGGACAAGUCAGCUAAAAAACCUUCUGAAACUAAAGCUGCUACAGCAAUAAAUGAGGGAGAUCUUCUUGAGAAGCUUAGUACCAUAUGACAAGGUUCUUGUUGUCAACAGUGUCCCUGAUGCGAAAAAAGUUGUUAGGAUGCUUACAGAUCAAUACAGGCAUCUUGUCCAUGCCUGUGACACAGAGGUAUAUAUGCUUCAAGUUUAUCUUAGCUUUGAUUGAUACAAGUUCUGUCUGCAUGUAAUUUUUCACUUGCCCUUUCUUUUAAAAUAAAUGCGUGAUUGGGUAUUGGGUGUUUAAGAUUUCUUAUUUACAAGCUACUGUCCAAUUGCUAAUGGUAGAAUUUUUACAGGUGGCGAAUAUAGAGGUGAAGCUAGAAACACCUGUUGAUCAUGGAGAAAUAAUAUGUUUUAGCAUCUAUUCUGGACCAGAUGUGGAUUUUGGAAAUGGGAAGUCUUGUAUUUGGGUGGAUGUUCUUGAUGGUGGUGGCAAGGAACUUUUAAUGGAGUUUGCUCCUUUUUUCGAAGACCCCUCCAUCAAAAAGGUUGCUUUUUCUUUCCUUUAAGAUAGUCUUGACUCACAGCAUCUUGCAAACAACUUAAUCAUCGUUAGAUAGUGGCACUUUCGGGAAAUGACUACUGUAUUUUGUUUUUCGACAAUGAAACCACAAGGAUUUUGACAGAUUUGAUUCAUAUUGAGGGUCUGGAGCUUGGAACUCAAAAUUUUACUGUAUAUGUUUACAGACAACUGGGCUGUGAGCCUGUGAUUGAGGGUGGGAGUAGCUUUUUUUAAAAGGCCCACCUUUUUAUUUCUGAAAAACUUAGUCACAUUAAUCAGAUGUUUACCAUUACCUGUUGCUUUGCACAAUGCUAUUGUUGGUAAAUGAUUUUCUAUUUUUGCGAGCAUUUUCUUUAUGCAUUUUGAUCAUUGCUGUUUUCAAUUGAUAGAACUAUCAGUUUGUUCCAAACUCAUCCACAGGACAUGUUUCAAUACCCUAGUGACUUCAGGCUAAAUGAACUUUUUGUUUUUCAGAACUGCUUCUGUUUCUGACUGAUAAAGGAUCAAUGCCUUGUGUCAAAAUUUUUCCCAAUAAUCAUAUAUAUAAAUACUACUCACCUCUAUUUUCUUAAUACUCUGUUUUAUUUUCCUCUUAAUAAGACUGGUUUUAUAUCCUUUUUUCUUAUUGACUACUGUUGGCUGUUUUAAUUGGUAUGUGCUUUUCUCUUUUAGCCUGGAAAAUUACUUGGCUGGUGUUUCACCAUACAUGGAAUAUGCAUUUUGAGAAAUAAACUCAACAAUGACAGUCCCCCAUCUUUUGUAGGUUUGGCACAAUUAUAGCUUUGAUAACCAUGUAAUAGAGAACUAUGGGAUUAAGCUUUCUGGUUUCCAUGCCGACACGAUGCACAUGGCUCGCUUGUGGGAUUCAUCAAGGCGGUUAAAAGGUGGUUAUUCUCUUGAAGCACUUUCACAUGACCCAAAGGUCAUGUCUGGGGCCCAACUGAGUGAUGAGAAGGAUUUGAUUGGUAAAAUAUCUAUGAAAACAAUAUUUGGCAGGAAGAAAGUGAAGAAAGAUGGAAGUGACGGGAAAGUGACCAUUAUUGACCCUGUUGAAGUGCUACAAAGAGAAAAGAGAAAACCAUGGAUUUGUUAUUCUGCCUUAGAUUCAAUAAGCACACUGAAGCUUUAUGAGAGUAUGAAAAACCAACUAAGCAAAAAGGAGUGGAAAAUUGAUGGAAAACCAGAACCUGGAACCAUGUUUAAUUUCUAUGAAAAAUAUUGGAGACCAUUUGGUGAGCUUUUAGUUAAGAUGGAAACUGAGGGAAUGUUGGUUAAUCGGGAUUAUUUAGCUGAGAUUGAGAAGUUGGCCAAAGCAGAACAAGAGAUUGCUGCAAACAGAUUUCGUAGGUGGGCGUCUAGGUACUGCCCUGAUGCCAACUACAUGAAUGUGGGAAGUGAUGUGCAACUACGCCAGCUCCUCUUUGGUGGGAUCGCAAAUAGGUACACAUUUCAAUUAAUAAAUUUAUUCUGUUUAGUUAUAAUUAUCUUGCUGUAGGUAAUUAUUUUGGUAGACUCCAAAUUACAGGGUGCAAGAUACUAAAUGCAUGCUAUUUUGAUGUUUUGGUUAUAUCAGCUUUAGUUGGUGACUGUGGAAUGGAAGUCAACAAACUAUGUUUACUUGCUUCUAAAUACAGAAACUGUAAUAUCUACUUGACUUUUUGAUUUCAACAUCGUAUUCGCUUUAGUAAUUCUAGUGCUACAGUGAUGUUGACAUGGUGAGUUUAUCAUCCAUUGCUAUUUGUCUGGGCUUUUGAAAGUUUUACCUGUUACAGAAGCUUUCUGAGCUGAAUACUUUCUUUUAUCCUAUGAUAUGGUUGUAGAUAUGCUUAGUUCUCAUAAGUUGUGUCCUUUUGCUUUUCUAUUCUUCUGGAUAAAAGGAAGUAUCAAGGGUUAAAAGUUUACAAUCUUAUGUCAGAACCGUUCACCACUAUGCUUUGCUGGUCUUAAUAGUUAAGGGCAGCAUAUGCUUAGCAUGACUACAUGUACAGGAAGCAGAAAUAGUUACAAAAUUUUAUUAGACUUUGAUUCAUGUGAGAAGAAAAUACUCUCAGUCUCCUUUAUUUAAUCAUCAAGUUAAAAUUUAAAACUUAGGCUAGAAAGGAAAGAUUUUAGGUAAGUGGUUUUGUAUGAUUGAAAAUGAACCUCAACUGUCCCGAUGAGGAAUACUAAUACAAUGAGGUCUCCUAGUAAAAACAAAGCUAUCCAUUGGAACUAUUUGUAUUGUAACCAAAAGAAAAUUCAAUCACUCACUCUAGAGACUUCUUUUGGAACCUGAAUUAUCCCCCAUUUGAAUAGAAUCUUUAAUUUUUACACUAUUCAAAUGCAGGGAUAAUAGCAAAAAAGAAUCUUACUUCUAUUCCCCCUAGCCUGAUGGAGACAAGAAAGCUGUACAAAUUUGACCUGAUUGUUUCCUGUUACAGAAAGGACUCCAACCAGUUUCUUCCAACGGAGAAGACUUUCAGAGUUCCAAACAUUGAUGGAGUGAUUGAAGAAGGGAAGAAUACAGCCUCAAAAUUUCGCAAUAUUACUCUGCAUAAUAUUGUUUCCAAUCUUCCAGCUGAGAUUUACACAGCAAGUGGUUGGCCCUCAGUUGGUGGAGAUGCUUUGAAAAUUUUAUCUGGGAAGGUCUCUUCAGAAUUUCAUUUUGUGGAUGACGACCAGGAAGGUGUUGGAGAUGCUUGUGAGACAGUGGAUGCUGAAUAUUUGGGAACACAAGAGGAUAGGUCUGAGGUUGACACAUCUGCUUAUGGAACAGCUUUUAAAGCAUUUGAGAAAGAGGAGAAGGGGAAAGGGAAGGAAGCUUGCCACGCCAUUGCUGCUUUAUGCCAAGUUUGCUCUAUUGAUUCCUUGAUAUCCAACUUCAUCCUUCCUUUGCAGGUCAUUUCGGCCAUUAUUUCAUACUUUUUAUGCUUAUUAAACCUCCACUAUUGGCAAGCUAACUCCUCAUUCUUGAGUUUUUGAACUGAAAAUUUAUGUGGAUGUUUACAAUGAUAUUGGUUUAUUUCUACUACAGAGCAGUAAUAUAUCAGGCAAGAAUAAGCGAAUUCAUUGUUCUCUAAAUAUCAACACAGAAACGGGGCGUCUGUCCGCGAGGAGGCCUAAUUUACAGGUAUUAUUAGUUCUGUCAACUUUUUAUUGUGAUCUAUUUAAAUGAAGACAUCAAUGCUUUAUCCAAGACAUCCACCAUUCAAUAAGGAUGAAAUCUGGAUGGCCAGCUUCCCUUGGUUUCCUGAUCACUUAAUAACACAUCAAUGAUUUUCACUUAAAUAUCUUGCUUGUAACCAGUGUCUCCAACUGUAGUGGAAACUUGGGAGGUAUGCAUGUUCAUCCUUUUUUUUUUUUUGGUUCUCCUGACUCAGAACCAACCUGCUUUGGAGAAAGACCGGUAUAAGAUCCGCCAGGCUUUUGUAGCUGCACCCGGGAAUUCUCUUAUUGUUGCUGAUUAUGGACAGGUGUGUUGUCUGUAUUAUCUGCUUACUUAUUUCAUGAUUUUAAAUAUUUAAUUGAUGUGUUCGUAUGACAGCUCGAACUCAGGAUUCUUGCUCAUCUGUCCAACUGUACAAGUAUGUUGGAUGCCUUCAAAGCUGGUGGAGAUUUUCAUUCAAGGACUGCAAUGAACAUGUACCAGCAUAUUCGUGAUGCCGUUGAGAGUGAAGAAGUGCUACUUGAGUGGGAUCCUCAACCUGGUGAAGAGAAACCCCCAGUUCCAUUAUUGAAGGUAAAACAGUAUAAUCUUUUUUUCUAGUGUAGUAGUGAGGAUUUAUUUGAGAUGAUAGUUGGAAAAUGAGUUUUGUGAGAAGAAAAUUUCUUCGCCUUAGGAAGCAAAAAGAAAGAUUUCUUUGCCAAAAGAAGCAAAAAAUAUGAGCAUUGAUCAUUAUAAUUUAACCUUGGAGAAGAAAAUGCUGUAUAAUUCUUUCUGUUGCUCCCUCUUUAUUUCAUGAAGUUGGCAAUGUUUUGUUUGAGACAGUGAAAGUCUCAAAAGGAUAUAAACUUGUUUAAAUGGUGAGGGCUUGGGGUGAGGUUGAGAGUGUUAUACCAUUGGAAAACAAUGAAGCAAGUAAAAGGCACAAUUCAGUAGUAUUAUUGCCCUUGCCUUAGUCUUAAUCGGGAAGGGUUUUCUUCUCCUAAAAUGAAACUGCUGUGCCAUGAACGGACCUGGACAAACUAAAAGAUGAAACUUUGUUUUAGAAUGAAUUAAAUACUGCUUCCUACAAUGAUGGGGCUUGGGGUAGACAUUGUAUGAAAAUACAACACAUUUGUUUCUGUUCUUUUUUCAUUAGCAACUACGAAGCUUAUAUAUUUGAGUUUUCUAGUCUUUUUUGUUAAAUUUUGUGCUCAGACCCCCUUGGUGAGAGCCUCAUGCAGUGGGCACCCUUUAAAAUUGAUUCGUUAUUUUAUAGAAAUUUAUCUUGCCUAAUUUCAUGCUGCAUAUUUUCCAAUUUGGACAGCUGAUACAUUGAUUUUGUAAUUUAAUACAGAUACCAUCUAUUAGCAUGUAACAUUUUGAUAUUUGGGGUUGGUUUUUUUGCCAGUCUAAUGUGGUUUGUUGCAUGCGGUUACUGUUAUAGAUUUUACUCUGACCACUAUCUUCUGGUACAAUAAUAUUCCAUAUUCAGGAUAACUUUGCUUCUGAAAGAAGGAAAGCUAAAAUGCUUAACUUUUCCAUUGCAUAUGGGAAAACUCCAGUUGGGCUUUCCCGGGAUUGGAAGGUAAUCUUGCAACACUAAUGGCAUGUUUACUUGCUUCGUAUAGGUAUGGGAAUGAAUCCGUUCAUUCCAUUUCCAUUCCUUGCAAGUAAACAUGCCCUAAGCUUGAAGCGUAAUAAGAUAUUUAUAUUGUUUCUUUAUCAAUUUGAAUGAUCUGCUAUGGUAUGGUGGUUCCAGGUAUCGGUUCAGGAAGCAGAAAACACAGUUAAACUGUGGUACAAAGAAAGACAAGAAGUGCUUAUUUGGCAAGAAGAACGUAAAAAAGAAGCUAUAGAAAAUAGAUGUGUUCACACAUUACUUGGACGGGCUCGCCAGUUCCCAGCAGUAUCUCGUGAUAAACGUGCUCUAAGAGGUCAUAUUGAAAGGGCUGCUAUCAAUACACCAGUGCAGGUUCUUCCAGAGCAUUUCCUGUCUUUUCUCCCCACCACUCACCUCUUGUUCCCUCGCUUCCCCUCUUCCUUCCUCUCCUCCCUCUGUAGUCAUGUGAGAUUUUGGUUGUGUGACUGUAACAGGGCAGUGCUGCUGAUGUUGCCAUGUGUGCUAUGUUAGAAAUAUCCAAGAAUGCACGUUUGAAUGAACUUGGGUGGAGGCUGCUUUUACAGGUGAACUCCUGAUUCCCCUAGAUAUUAAACUAGAUUUAAGACUGUCAACGCAUGAGCAAAAAUAUUAAACUAGAUUUGUAUUUUUAGAUUCUGUGUUUGCUUACUUUUCUCUCCCAUAAUGUCCUACGUUGAUCUCGCAUUAUGUCCUUCGUUGAAAUUAAGUGGAAGUACUAUCUUCUUGUGCCCUUUCAAGCCACAUUAUCUGGCUCUGUCUUUGUUGAUUUCUCAGUAAAUUUUUAUAAUGUCUAGAAAUGUGUGCAAAAACAAUUUUCAUCUUAGUUGACCAUGUGAGCGCAGUUCCUUGUCCUUGAAUGUAUGUAAUUUGGUUGUUUUAAAAGAUUUAGAUAUUAUGUUUUGAUGGGUAGUUUUAUUUGCACCGUGUAUCCCUCUAAAUAUUAUCCAUUUUACUCUUAUUUACCCUUUUCUUUAUGGAAUAAAAGAAUUUUAUUGGCUUCCUUCUCCCCUGCUUUCUCCUUCACCCCUUUCCCGGUUUUUCCUUGUCUUCCCUUGUUGAGAGGUUGGUCAUGCCGGCCCAUUAAAUUGUUUUUCCAGGUUUUAAAAAGUUUCUAUAAUUUAAAUUUAGAUGCGAGAGUAAUGGAAAAAUUUAAGAAAUUUGCAAGGAGGGAGGGUGUUAUAAGCAGUAUAGUGUGGAAAUAAAUGCAUAAUUUCUUAAGUUAAUCAGACAGCAGAACAUGUUGCCAUUUCUUUUCCAGCUUUAUUCUGAAAGCAUCCUUCUAAAUCAUGUUUUCCUCGCUUAAUUUCUUCUGUUACAAAUCUUCAUUCUUAAUCUUGGACUCUCAUUGAAUAGUUUCAAGUUUCUUUUACUAGCGCAACAUUUAUACAAUCCUUAAAUUACUGUGAGAAUUUGAAUGAGUUUGCGUGUGUCCCGGUUGACUGUUGAAUAUUUAAUCAAAGGGUUAAACAAAACAAAUUGUAGCUUUGACAAGAAUUGUGGAAAUAACCUUUAUCUGGAAAGCAGGUUCACGAUGAAGUGAUCCUGGAAGGGCCAUCAGAGUCUGCUGAGGAAGCAAAGAAAUUAGUUGUUGAGUGCAUGUCGUUUCCCUUCAACGGAAAGAAUAAUCUUAAAGUCGACCUUGCCGUUGAUGCCAAGUGUGCACAAAACUGGUAUGCCGGCAAGUAGAUGCGGUGGCUAAUCACAAAAUUGGGCUUUUGGUUUGAGACCCUCGACAGUCGGUGUGUUAUGCAUCCAGAGGGCCAGCUAUUUGCAGUGUUUGCUUUAAGUGCUUUCACUCAUAAGAGGUUUUUUUUUGCCCGAGGAAUCGGUUGUUUUAGUCUGUUGAUGUGAAAUUUUCCGGUCAUCAAAGAGUUGAUGUGUCACAUUUCGGCCAAGGAUUACUAGAAGAGGGUUCGGUCUGCUGCUUUGAUGUGCACUGUCAGGUUUAGACCUUUGGGGAAGAAGGCUCAUGGAAGAGCAGGCCUUGUAUAUAUAGAAAUAGUCUACUACCUGUUGAAUUUAACACUCUUCUAAUGCCUUCGUACUUUCUUUGGUGAAACUGAAAAUGUAUAUUUUGAACAAGAGCAUGAAGAUGCAAUACUUAUUAUCCCCUGUCUUCUACAGCCUCUCCCUUUUUAUCAUUUGGUAUAAUAAUUUUCCUUUUCUGGAUGGAUCACGUCACCUGUACCCCUACGCAUGACCAAACCCCUAUGCAUGACCAAACGGGACCUCCUUGAAUUGGAUCCACCAUGGGACUGAUUUUUCUUGAACCCCAACACAAGGGGUUUCCGUGGUUGUGUAUGCGUAAUGUGGUCCUCCCAGUGGGACACAAGAAUUUCUUGUGGAAAUGGCCACCAGAGGGAACUUUGGGAGUUGGGGCACUGUAAGAAUCUCUGGACUUUGUUACCGUUGCAAGGAUUUUCCUAGUUGCUUACUGCGUUAAUGAAAUAUGACCAUUGUUUUGUGAGCCCCACAUGCAUUAACGGUUAAAAAUCACCCAAACUUUGUUGACAACUGACAGUAGCAUACCUUAUCUUAGGUUAUGAUCUCGGGUAUCACGGAGUUUGUGUAUUUCCAACUUGAAUAAGAAACCAAUCGGCUACAAUUUCUACCUUAAGCUGCGCAGACGCAGAUGCUGGAAACUUAUCUGUCAAAUGGCAAUUAUAUUCAACUCAUGCGAACUGUAGGACUUCAAAAUCAUUCACUCCACUCAAAACGCAAGCUCGAAUUCAAUACAAGUUGGCAAUACAUACAACUAGAAACUAUUUGUCAUGCUGCUGAGGAUUGAUUCCCCAGGAUGAUGCCAACUGCACCAAAAGUUGAUCCGGUGUUGCACCUUCCCAGUCCUCGGGCAGAUUCAGUGUUACAGAAGCUUCAUGCAGAUUCAAAACGAGUUCUUUCUUUACGUCAGUGGGAAGACCGAAAACAUCAGAUCCAUUUUCGAGCACUAUUUCAACCAACUGCGAAACGGAAAAAAGGGGACCAAAUGGUCAAACUGAGGCAUCUCCAUGACCAGACAGCAAAAGCAAUAAAAUUGAAAAGACGGGGACAUUUUCAAUACUAUCGAAUUCUAUGAAGCAGAGAAACGCAGAGAACGCGUAUGCUUCCCAUUAGUAUUUGGAAAUUAUCAGAGCAAAUAGACUCAACCAAAAAACUUAUUACGGACAUGAAACACUUAAUAUGAAGUCUAACCAUUAAGAAGGAAACUAAUGAAACACAUCCUUAAAAAUAGUGAACUCACACAUCCGUUACGAAGGAAAAUACCUGCUGAAUCCAAGCCAAACAGAUGUCAAACAAGUUUGGCUCUGGUAAGAAUUGCCCAACAGCAUGCAAGACCUCGGUUGCUGUCUCAUUUGAAAGUUGGUCAAUCACAGGACCUGAUCUGUCCAUCAACUUUACAAGCAAGAUAUCAUCUCCUGUAGACAACACUUCCAAAAAGGCCGUAUCCAGAUCACCCACUUGAAGAGCAUCCAUUGCAUUAGUCCAAGAAUUCCAGAUUGGAUUCCGCUCCUGGCCCACAUUAUCAUCUUCCAUAGCCUCUGCAGUCAAUUCAGGUAUAGCUACUCUUCCAGAUCUAGAUGUUCCAUUGUCCUCUCCAGCCACACGAAUUGCUUCCAAGGUAGCUUCAUCUUUGGAAGCUUGCCAAACACUUCUUGCGGAAGGCCCCUCACCAAACCUAACAGGUCCAGCCCCUUUAUCCCAUGCUCGCCUGCUGUUACCUUGAUCACUCCCAUUCUCUGAUUUGGGCGACCUACCAUCCCCAGGACCACCUCCUACAGCCUUCCUCGAACCAAUAUGUCCACCUCUGGAACCACCAUAUGUUGGAAAAUCCCACACCUCAGACAUGUCAGAUUUCCAAGUAGGGCCCCGUCCCCUCAUGCCGGAAACAUGUCCAUCAUUUUGGGCAAAUCGUUCGCCAUAUGGAAUUCGUCCAUCUCCACCUCUUCCAAACUUGUUACCAGUGUAAUCAGGAAAGCCGUUAUACUUGCCUAAAGGCCUAUUAGAAGACCCCUCAUACCCCAUCGAAAAAUUACCGCCUCUUCUACCUGAUGAUAUUGAUAAAUCUCGUGCCAAGUCUUCAACAACUCUCUCAAGACCCCUUACUCUGUUCUCCAAAGUUAUCAUGCUGUCAUGAGACCCGCCCAUGAAAUCCUGCAACAUGCUCAUAAGAUGACCUUGUUGUCUCUCCAGCUGCAACAAUUGCCUUUGGAUAGCCAACCAAUUUCCUUUGUUAUUGACAAAGGAUCCUUCAGGUUGACCAUCGGGUUUAGAGAAACCUGCACGACUACUGGACGACUCCCUUUGAUUUAUAUCAAUCCUGUCAUCAAUAUCAACUGCUCUCGUUCUGGAGUCUUUUCCAUUCGCCCUUUCUUCUGGCCAUUUAUCCCUCGCAAGGUCAUCAUGAUCUCGUUGUUUAGUAUACAGACCAGCUAUUCCUCUCUCUGUGUUACGGUAUUUACUACUGAAAGAUCCAUGAAUAUCAUUAAAUUGGCUGUUUGCAAUCCGGUUUUGAGUUUCUUUGGAAUUUGUAUCAUUUGCCUCUGGUUCUACCUCAUUAUUUGAGUUUGAAGAAUUGACAUGUCUACGAGGAACAACUACCUCAACGGGCAAAUCAUCAGAAACCCUCUUUUCAAGUUUCUGGAAGAAUUCUGGGUUUAGCUCUUUGUCAGUUAAGAUGGGCAGUUUCUUCUUCAAAGCUACACCCGCUUUAUCUCCACUGGCUUUGGAUUUAGAAACAGAAUCUGAAGUAGGAGAUGAACCAUUAGAUGAACCCUUUGCUCCUUGAUCUGUUUUCUCACUAGGCUUUGAAUUUUUUGGCUCAUUCUUCUCUGACAACUCAGCUGAUUCAGAAUUUUCUUUAUUAAAAUGCGACAACAACAGAAUGAUCCGGUGAGAGCCAAAAGGAAUUGAAGCAUUUUAAUAAAGGUCGUAUUAUUGAUAAGCUUACCAUGAGACGAGACUUUCUUGUCAUUUGGAGCUUCAUCUUCUCCUUUCCCAGCUAUCUUUUUCCAGAACUGCAAUGCCUCUGUCAUGCUAUCUCUGACAGGUUUAAUCUGUAAACCAAAACGGACAAUAUUUUAGAGACUAGUCCAACAGAAAUACAUAGCCACCCUUCUAUCUCAUUACAUAUUUCAUGUACGAACGUUGGCCAAAUCCAAAAUUCAAUAUUUCAAGCAGACUGCUUUUUCCUAGCCAGUAAAGUGAAAAUUUGAGAAAUUAUAUUAGGUGCCUAUCCGAUGUGUGAAACACAUAUUCAGUAUCCAAGUGAGGAAAUACUAUAGCAAAGUAGUCCAACAUUUUACUUGAUUUUUCACCUACCCCCAUCUCUUGCAGUAAACACCAAAAAAAUUCCUAAACUAGAAGUUCCAUGUAAUAAAUAACAUUAUACUGAAAAGAAUUUUCUUGUGCAAAAAUAAUCCAUUAACAUACUGUUCCGUGUUAAAUUGCCAAUGUGUAAUGGUGUGCCGGAUAUGAAUACAAAGCCACGAGUUAUUGAAAAAAUGUAAAUUGAACGAUCAAACAAGAAAAUGUUAUACUUAAGUACUCGCCAAAACUGUUUUGCUGUAAGAUGAAAAGUAACACACUUCAGGAAUAUGCAACAAAAGACUACCUUGUCAAAACGGCAAGACUCGAGGACAGUCAGGGUGGAAGCGGUUCUAUCUGUAAUCAAGUUGCUCGAAUGCAAUGCUAAUGCAACCAGCACAUCAGCUGCUGCUUUACGUGUUGCCCAAUCUGUGCUCCCAAGGCAUUCAUGAAUACUUUGCAGUAGAUUAUCCAAGCUUUGGGGCGCAAUCGCUCCAACCUACAACAAGUAGGUACCUCUUCGAUCAGUAAAAGUCCAAUUAAAUCAUCCAAAGUAUAGAUCGAAGUGAUCGUUCUAUCCACCUGCAUUCUAUUGGCAAUAAGACUAUGUAUAAGUUCACACUACACCAAACACAAGACAUUUCAAGUCAACACUCCAAACCAAAUUACCACUCUUUUCUAUCUUCUGUGUCCUACAUCUUUUUAGCAAUCAAACAACCACAUAAGUAUCGACUUUACUACAAAAUCUACAACAAUGUACAUGACUAUAUCGAGUCGAGACCACAAUGUACAUGCCCACAAAAUCAUUUGAGUGCGAAAAAGCAAAUGUAGAUAUUCUACUGAGCAAACCUGAGACAGGCUCGAAACAACCGGCAAGAGCGAUGCCUUAGCCAAGAAGUUAGGAUUGUUAAGCAACUUGCAGAUCCUUGGAAACAGCCUUUGAAAAGACGAAACAGGCGGGUCUAAAGCGCAGUCUACAAUCUUAGCCAUACACAGUGCCGCACCAGAUUGCACCCCUUUGUUCUGCUCGGCCAUAGCCUCAAACAAAGGCUUCGUAAACAAACCCACAACCGACCCAUUGUCGCUCACACUCUCUGCCUUCAAGUACUGCGCCGACAGCGCGCCAAUGGCGUCGCGGCACGCGUCCCGGACGCCGGAAUCGGCAUCCUUGAGCCUCUUGACGAUGUGGGCAAUGAUUUUGGUCAAAUGGGUGGAGGUGAAAUCGGGGUGGGAAGCAGAGACCAAUGCGAGCAGGCGCAAAGACUCUUUCUUGACGGCGGGUUUCGGAUCGGCGGAGGCGUCGUAGAGGCAGUUGAGGAGCAUAGGGAGGCCCUCCGGCGGGAGGGUUUGGAUGAUUUUCUCGAGAUCUUCAACGGCAAUUUGGUACGUGUCUCGGUCGGAGAGUUUGGAGAGGGAGGUGAGGAUUCUCUGCUUGAGCUCCACCAUGGCCAGGUGGGUCGAGAGGGAAGAAGAAGCGGAAGAAGCAGAGGACUUUGAAGAGGAGUUUGGUGGUUGCUGCGGCUGCGGCGGCGUUGUGGGUGAUGGGUUUGGGGGCUUAGCCGGUUUGGAAAUUCUGGGUCCGGCAAAACUCAUGGUUUCGAGUUGAUGUGGUAUAGUUUCGGGGAUGGAUGUAAAAUGGAAAUGGGUUCUCUCUGAUUCGGAGAUUUAAGCUUUCAGACUUCGACAGUGAGAGAGGUACAGCCAAUGUUGUUGCAGUUGCAGAUGGGGGAGAGAGAGAGAGAGAGAGAGAGAGAGAGAGAGAGAGAGAGAGAGAGGG